rnacentral:lncRNA from 1 species
AAAAAUGUUAUUGCAGAUUACAUAUCAAGACAAAGCUACACAGACUGAUAUAGUAGAGGAAGAUACUCUAGAAAAAAUACUUAACACCCUAACUACGCUUUCAAUGAAAGUGGACAGUAUGGGUAAUGAGAUAGAAAAGCUAAAUACUAAUGAAGGUAAACUGAAGUCUAUAGCUACAAAUCAGCUAACUCAGCAGUGUGCAGAGCUAUGUCGAUCAGAAGACAUUAAAAAUCCAGAGCUAGAAGGAGACGUUGGGACACUCCAUAAAACCCAUAACAUUUAUCAAUCUACUUCUGCAGGUACAAGCAAAGGAGUUAAUAAGCCAAGAUACCAAAAUGCAAAUAUGAAUAAAAUAUUCGAAAAACCAUUUACCCCUAAAACACAAAAAGACCAUUUAUUCAUACCCCCACAAGUUAAUACAUACCGAGACAGCCUAAACCAAGACAAGAAAAUAUACAACUACACAGCCCAAAAAUACAUAGAAAAUAUAUACAGAGUACAAACUUUUCUAAACCAUAACCCCAGAGCUACAGAUAUCAAAGAACCAAAUACCAAUUAUAUAACCCAAAAAUUACAAGGAUACAACAAACUGAUAGCACUACCCAAAACUAACCCAAGCCUAGUUAAAACUUGUUUUGACUAUGGACUACUAAAUACCAUAUACACCCAAGACGGAGAAGAGCUAACAGCCAUGGAGGAGUUAUAUAAGAUAUUUACUACCUAUAAAAGAAUAACAAAAGGAACUUUAUUUUAUAUAAAAUGUUAUACUGCACCAGCAGAGAUAUUAUAUGAUGAGAUAAAACCAGUGAUACAAGUUGUAAAGAUAGGACUGACAAGAGACAUGAUUAUACCGGAAGAUAUAUCGCGACAACCGGAGAUACCUAGAAUAGAGAUACCAGAUUUUUACGCAAAUAAAAGACUUAUUGGACUAGCUACGAUCAUACAAGAACUAGCAAAUAACUACGCUAACGGAAAUCCAAUAUGGAGCUACUAUUCAAGAGACCACCAAAUGAUAUAUUCAAAUUCGAAAGAACUAAGACAAGCAGAUAUGGAAGAUGUAAGACAGUGGAUAUUAACACUACUCAACCCAGAAAAACAAUCUACCGCACGAGCAAUAAAAAAGGGAUUUAUUUCAGAAGGACUAUUAACAAGAUACUGUAAGAUAAUUGGACAUAAAUAUCCAGACCACCAAUGUUCGAGGUGCAAUGGAGAAGAUAAUAUUAUUCCAGAGGUACAUCUAGAAUAAAGAAGAUAAAAUGCCAGCUGGAAGGAUAAAGAUAAAAAGCAAUAAUGGAGCAGAUACAGAAGCAAUAAUGGAGCAGAUACAGAAGCAAUAAUGGAGCAGAUACAGAAGCAAUAAUGGAGCAGAUACAGAAGCAAUAAUGGAGCAGAUAUACGUAGAAAAAAAUGUAAGCCACUAUUGUUGACUUUUUUUAGUUUUAGAAAUUGUAAGAUACCUUUUAACUUCUUAGGCUUAGUUUUUACGUAACUUAGAAUUUUAGAAAAAAGUUAGAUGGGGAUAGGCCCCACUUCUUUAAUUUUCAUUACUUCUUAGGCACAGCAGAUAUGUAAAUUCAUUCUAUAAAUACAAAGUUCGAAGGUAUUGCGAAAGGCAAGCCUUCUUUUGAAGCAAACCUUUCUCUCUCCAUUCCACAAAAAUUACUCAGUUAAUUAGAUAAAUAUACUCCAAUGGAAAAAGCUAUGGAACAACAAAACUCAGAAACAUCAAAGCUACCGGAACAGGUAUAUCUAUUUAUAAUUAUGAAUAGCUAAUUUCAUAAUUCCCAACAAUCAUGAUAUGAUAAAAUAAUUCAUAUUAGUUACUUUAUAGUAGAAUUAUUCGAAGAAUAAUAUGUUAAGAAGUUUAUUAACAAAGAGGAAACGGAGAAAUAUCCCUAAGGACUAUGCCAUCCUAAAGGUGAAACCAAUGAGGCAAGAAGCCGUGGCGGGGAGUAACCAGAGUAGAGGCGCUGUUUAAGGGAAAAAGUAUCCAGAUUACCAUGUUAAUAGUGACGGAAGAACAUAUUAUUUAAGAAUAAUCUAGUAUAUAGUAAGCCAAUAUGACCAUAUUUUGUUGUGUACGUGAUUGAAGGGAAUAUUUUGAAAAAAGCAAAUUUAUGAAAAAUGAAUGAUAAUAUAUCUGAUGUGAUGGUAGAUAAAUUCAAGAUACUUAUUUUGUAUGCACUUAGAAAUAUAAAAGUAGCAGAUAUAAGAAAAAUAAUAUUAGAAAAAGCUUUUGGUAAAAAUUAUAUGUCUAGAAUAAGCUAUAUACCACAAAUACCUAACGACUCUUAUAAAUACUUAAGGUGAUAAGUUACAUAAAAAAAAAAAGAAGAUAAAAACAAAAACUUUUGCAGUUACUAGAAAAAAUAAAAAUAAACACAUGGAAAAUAAAGAUAUAAAAUUUCGUAAUAAAAAUAUGCAAAAACUACUAAGACUAAAACAAACAGCUACAAAACAAUUUUAAAAAUAGAUCAUUUAGAUUAUCUUAAAGUUUUAAUAUUAUAUAUACUUAAAAACAUAGAAAUUAUAGAUAUUAAGAAAAUAAUAUUAGAAAAAGUAAUAGACUACGAAAUUGAAACUAUAAAUUAUCUAGAACAGUUAUACGAAGAAAUUUACCCAGAAGGAUAUUAUUCAAACUAAAAAAUGUUAGAAUAUAUUAGACAAAAAAGAGAAAAUCAAGAAAAUCUAAAUAAUGAAAUUAAUUAUAGAAACCAAAUUAGACGAAUAAUAAAAGACCUAAAAGAAAAAUUAAAAUGGAUAGAAAAAACCUUAGAAAAUUUAGAUAAAAGUACAUGUGAUAGUCUAUAUAAUUUAAAAAACUCACUACGAGAAGAACAACACAAAAUAAUAAAUAACAUUGAAAAUCUAGAAUUAGAUAUAUAUUAUAGCACAGAUAGAAUAAAUUAUUAUACAAGAAUUUGUAACUCUGUAAUUACUACAGGAUAAAACAAUUAAUGAAUAUAUCUAACGAAAAAAGUAAAUUAUUAAAAGAUAACAUCCACGCACUAAAUAAAAAUAGAUUCACUACAAUACCAAAUCUAUUAUACCUACAAAUCCGCGCACCCCCCUACAUUCAUUACAGUAGGUUGUCUUAAGACCUUUCUCUCACCACCCAAAGUGAUGGUGUCCACCAGCUCGAUCAUAUGCAAUGGCCUCUCAAAUAGGGAUGCUCUUGAUAAAUUAGAGGGUUGUGUUUUCAUUUAGGAAACCAAGUUGGUAUUAUUAUGAAUUAACCCCAAAUCUACUAUACAGGACACCUCUAUUGCAUGAUCGAUACCCGAUAGUACCAUAAAGCUAGCAGCAUUACAUAGCUUUCGAACAAGGCAAGAGAAGAAGAUACUCGUGAAGUCUCUGAAAGCUCUCUCAUAGAUCUCAUCAAUAAUGUAUCAUGCAAAAUCUAUGUCGUACCCCACCAUAAUGCUUUCCACCAGAAUUGCUCAUUCAAGGGUAAGUGAAUUAUCCACUCCUGUAGGGCCUAACUAGUUUUGCACAAUAGAUCACCAAAACUUACCUAUAAAGUGCAAGGAGGACUUAUUUAUCUCUAUUUUUCUACAACUCAUGAGGUAUCAACCCCACUUUUAGCUAUGUAGCUUGCAAUCCAACUCAAUAUCUCUCACUUCUACUUUAGAUCUUUUAUUUUGGUUCUAUUUUUUACCAUCUCCAUGCGGUAAUUAAACACUAUUAUGCUUACCAGAACCUCAUGUCCAGGCUUAAACAAAAUGUACUGAAUCAUAUGCUCAAAGAUAUCACCUUGUAUACUCCGAACCAAUAUGGCAGACAAUAGAGGUUGGUCCUAAAUCACUUCCCCUGAAAUGUGAUCAAGUCCACUGAAGCGGUAUAAGAGGGAUAAACUCAUGAACCAACUUUGGACUGUAGCUUCCUUAUGGUUCCCCCAAUUAACCAAACAUGUAUUGAUCAAACAAUGCUUUUAUCUCUAGAAUCCUAGACAGAUCAACUGUCUGAAUAUGAGGAUCCUCUAUAAUAGUCCUCUUAAGUGAAACUCUCUCAGUUAGAUUUGCAUCUCUGUCGUAAAUUAGUUUCAUAUCCGAAACAGACUACCUUCUAUUUUACUAGACUGUGGCUGUCUGGGCCUUUUACUCAGCUAAGGGUAGCGUCAAAUUAUACGUGGAACUUUGUAUCCUAGUACUAAAAUUAGAGGCAGCGGCAUUGUUCUCCUUACUAUCACUAGGCUCAGAUGAUUCCUCUCUCUUUUUAGAAUUGGGAGAAGUGUUUACCUUACUAUAAGAGUCGCUAGAACCUGUGGCUGACAUUGUGGGUUAACCUGUGGUGUUUCCUGAGCUGCAACUUGCUCCUUUGUUCAUUGCCUCAUACAUGGAGGCAUAAGUUGGUAUCAUCAUGCUCGAUAAUAUAUUACUCCUGCGACCUAUUGUUUUCCUUUUCAAAAGACUUAUCUCAGAGUUUAGAUAUAAGACCCCACAAAAUCCUAAUUAUUUGAGUCCUUUAAAGCAUACCAAAAUAGGUCCCAGACUUAGUAAAUUUCUGCUAAGUGUUAGGACUUAGUCAUUUCUAAGGACCUCAAACUUUGAGGAAUUUAUUUAUGACCUUUUCGACCUUAUAAAGUUAGUUUUUUAGUUAAUUCAUGAUAAAAAAAGUCAAUAGUACAUCUCGGGUGAGUUUUGGAAUUUUCGGACAAGUGUAAGGGCGUGUUUGAAACUCCAAAAUAGUGGCUCAGGGCGAUUAGCGUGCGGCACCCUGCCCAGUUCGAUGUUGGGGGGAGCCCGCGAUACAGCCUGCGACCCCCUAGCCAGUCCAGUCUGGGUAAAUUCUACAGUUUUGUUCUGCAUUUCUAAGGGAAAAUAGGUUAUUUUCCCUUCACCCAAUAGCUCCAUAACAUGGGAUUAAAGCCCCAAAUAGCAUAAUUGCUCAUUCUUUUCACAAAAUCCUCUCAAUAACAAGCCCUAGCUUCAUCAAGUUCAAGAAUAUAAUCUCAAGAACUCACCCCAAUCUCCAUGAAAUUAACAAUCAAGGUAUGUUUGGUGUUCAUCUAUGGGUUCUUUUCACCCAUAGAUCCCAAGAAUCCUUUUUAAAAAUACAUGAUUGAGUUUUCAUGAAUUCCAUGCUUCAAGAUUAAUUGUAUUCAUAUUUAUGAUAGUGAUAGUGAUUAGGUUUCAAUUCAUGAUUAAUUAUAAGUUUCCAUGAAAUUAAAAUAGUUUAUGUGAUGAAUUAUAUGAAUUGCAUGCUAAACCCUUGAAUUUGAAAUUGUGUAUUUUAUUCAUGAUGUUCAUGUGUUGGCCAUUAUCAUGUGAAAUAAUCCAUGCUCCCCAGUGUUUGCUAAAAUGACUAUGUGAAGUAAAUGGUGGAAUCAUGACAUAUCAUUAUAUGGUCCCAAUCAUGUAAAAACUUAUGCCCUACAAUUGCUUGAUAAAUGUCUCUAUAAAUAAAUUAUGGACAAGUGUACAUUGUUAUGUUUCUCAAGAUUAUGCUAUUCUUUACUCUUCAUGCUAUCGAGUCCUAGGGGUAUCUAAUACCCAAAAAUCUUAGAUGUUGACCUAGAGCUAAAGUUGUUACAGAAUAGUCUUAGUAACAUCACGAUUUGUAGUACUCAUUCAGUACAGAACUCAGUCAAACUCAGUUAACUCAGUCCAGUUCAGUCAGUUAACACGAUCAGUAAUAGUUUAAUCAAGCCUAGUACAGUUUAGAAAUUAGUUCAGUGUCUAAUCAGUUAAGAGUAGGAUUCAUCAUCGAGUGAACCCAAGGAUGGGGACUCACCUACCAAAAAAGGGUGUAAUCCUUAAAAGUAGUCCUUGCAUUCCAGAACUACGUAGCCAACAUAGGUUGAGACAUCAAUCUGCCAGUUAAGGGUUGAUGAGGUGUCUUACCUGCCAGUUGAGGGUACCGUCAUUCUUAUUCAGAGCACCUGCCAGAUGAGGGUGAAUCAACAACUUGUCUUUACCCAUGGUAUGGUACUAAAACUCUUCCAACUGGGGUUACAGGUUGGACCCCAAUCAGUUCAGAGAGGGGCAUGUCAGUUAGAUGAUUACCUCCUAAAGUUUUAGUUUCAAGCUCAGUAUAGAACUCAGUUCAGUUCUAUAGAAUUAAGACUAUCAGACACAGCCACCCAGCUUAGUACAAAACUCAGUUCAGUUAUACAGGAUUAGGACUGUCAGACACAGUCACCCAAUUAUCAGAAAUUUAGUUAUCAAUAAAACUCGUGAACUAACUUUGGACUAUAAGAUUUAAGAGUCUCUCCUAUCCAUCCAUGUCUGUAUCUAUUAAAUAUGGCCUUAAUAUCAGGGAUCCCUCCCAAGUUAGUUGUCCAGAUACGGGGUUCCUUAACUAUGUUCUGUCUAAACCCACCCUGCUCUAUCGGCUCAGUAUCUCAAUUAUAGAUAUCCUUCAUGUCCUAUACACACCACCUCUUUUUUUGGGCCACAAGCAUAGUGGAAGUGUGUGGAACCCUGUACCCUUGCACUUGAAGCUGAUGAAGUACCAUCCUCACUAGAUUUUGAAGACUCUACUCCCUCUUCAGAUUGACGGGUAUCCGUAUCUCUUUUAUUACUACCUGACUCAGCUAAUUUUGCCCUAUCCUCAGACUAGAGAGUGGUUGUGUCCUCCUCACUAUCACCAGACUCUGAUACUUCUUCCCCCUUAUUAGAUUGAGGAGAGACAGCUAAAUGAGGUGGCAAUAUUUGAGCAUUUCGUGUAAUAGGAUCUUAUGGAGCCUCUUUCCUAGGAAGGGGCCAUGUUGUGGUGCAAGCUAAGGUGUCAGUUGUAUUGUAACGUUGGCUGCAGCUUUCUUCUAUGUUUGACAUCAUUUUUGGUGAGGUAUCAAUAGGCAUCACCCAAGGAUACUCUUUUGCUGGGGUCACCCUUUUUUUGCAUUCCCUUUGGCGGCAUCGUACAUGUGUAGAGGAGUGUAAGUACAUAGAACACAUAACUAGGUAAACACUUACAAAUAUUUAAAACAUGUAGGACAUAUUCAUGAGUUCAGUCCACAACUAGUGUACUGGGUUCAUGACUCAUAAAAGUCAGACAAAACUUUUGAGCUUCGGAAUCUCAGGUCUAAUUCCCACAAGUCUAAUCCAUGACUCGUGAAUCCAGUUCACAGAUCUUGGAUUGGACUUGUUAGUUCAUACUUAAGAAUAACACAAAGCUCCAAUUUCUUGAAUUCAAUUGCUAAUAAUUUCACCCAAUCAGUUUAGAUUCGAUCAAAUGUCAUAACUCUACCCAUUUAGUUUAUAUUGGUUCAAUUUUAGGGAAUAUGAAAUCAUGAUUUUAACCUUACUUUGGCAAUGGAGAAACAAACCUAAAAGAAUUUAGAGAGUAUGCACAUACCUUAGCAUUGAUGAUGAUUUCAAAUAAUAAACAAAGAAAUUUCUCAAUUAGGAGCCUCUUAUGCAUGGGGAUCAGGGUUUUGGUUGGUUUGAUUAUCGUGAAGAUGUAGUAGGGUUUUUUUGAAUGAGAAAGGAGGGAAAUAUAUGUUUUUAGUGUUUGAGUUUAUGUAGGAUUUGUUUUGUUUUAUUUUUUGAAUUGGGUUUAGGGUUCGUUUAACGGAAAGGGUUGAGUUUUAGGAUUUGUAGGUUGGGUCACGUUGACCUCUUAAUUUAAUUGAAAAUUUAGGGUAAAUUACUUAACUAGCCCAUAAAAUUGACCCAUGAUUCAUAGGUAUGAUUUAUUACCCUUUAGUUAGGCUCGUGGGUCAUGAUCUGAGACCCAAGCCAUCGUCUAAUUUCCAUGACUCAACCCACGACCCAUAGGUAUGGUUUACAACCCAUGGGCUGAAUUUGUAGGUCAUAUUCUGAGGGACGGAAUUUCACUCUGAUUUUCAUGAGUUGGGUCUAUAUUUCAUGGACUUAAGUCACAACUCGUAGACGCUAUUUGUGAGCAGAGCUUGACUGUUCUAAUUUUCUAAGUUUUCCUUACGUCAGUGAUUCCUGUGUGCUUUUUUCCCUUAGAAAAAAACAAAGUUAAUACUAACACCAUGAGUUGCCUCCUAAGCAGCGCUUAAUUUAACAUCAUGACAUGACAUUACUAUGUUAGUAACACAGACUUCACCAACAAGCCUAUGGGUAGCCUCCCAUAAAAUGUUUGAUUUAACAUCGUAGCAUGACCCAUAUCUCUUGACUACUCAAACUUCAUCAAGGCUCAAUUCCAUACAUAACUUAAUCUCUUUUGUAUAUCUGAUGUAGUGCUUAAUACAUUGUCUGUUCACCUUGAAUGGUACAUACCAUCUCAUUGUAUCUCGAUUGCACCAUAUGGAAAUACCCUUACCAUGGUGAAUAAUCUAGACCAUCUUCAACUUGCCAAGAAAUAAGCAUUGUCUCAAAUUAUAUAGCCAAAACUAAAUCACCGGGUUUGAAUUAUCUUUGUUUAAUUUUUCUGUCAUGGUACAGUUUCAUCCUUUUCUUGUUCAAGGCUGAACUCUCAUAUGAAUGGAGGCAGAACUCAUCCAUCUAAUUUUUCUUCUCCAAUCGUAAGUGUGCAACAUCACUCCAUUCAAAAUUUAAUUUUUUCAGUGCCCAUAGUGCCUUAUACUCAAGUCGACCGACAAGUAGCACGCGUUUCCAUAUACAAGCUGAUGUGGAGAUUCACUAUAGGAGUUUAUAUGUUUACGAUAGUCCUAUAAUACAUCAUUUAGGUUUCUAGACCUUCUAUUGGCAUUCGCGGUUUUUGCCAGAAUAGACUUUAUAGUUUGAUUGGAGACCUUUACUCGCCCACUUGUUUGAGUAUGGUAAGGUGUUGCCACAUUAUGAUUCACACCAUAUUUCUCAAGUAAGGCAUUAAAAAUAUGAUUGCAAAAGUGUGAGCCUCCAUUACUAGUAACUGCUCGAGGUGUACUAAACUUGGAUGAAAUAUUCUUUUUUAAGAAUGUUGUAUCGCUCUUACCUUCAUUGUUUGGAAGCACAAUUUCUUCCACCCACUUUGAAAUAUAGUCAACAACCACCAAGAUAUACUUCAUCCCAUGUGAACUCACAAAUGGGCCCAUAAAAUCGAUACCCCAAGGAUUGGCAUCAUAGGGAGCUCAUACCUUCAUGAAAAUAUUACAUUGCUUUUGGCAUUGCCUAGAAGAACUAGCAUAAUCAUGUGCGUCCUUAUAGGUAGUAGGCCAAUAGUAACCACAUUGCAAGAUUUUGUGCGAGUACCUUCAUGAUAACACCCACCCAAGGAUGAAUGACAUGACUCUAAAAUACUCAUCUUUUCUACCUCGAGAAUAUACCUCCUAGUUACACCAUCAGCACACACUCGCUCAUCCCAAAAGAACUUUCUCACCUCAUGCAUAAAUCACUUGCGUUGUUGAAACAACAUAGCUUUUGAGAUGAGAUCAUUAGCCAAAUAGUUGGAAAAGUCUGUAAACCAAGGGAUUUAGUCUUGUUCUACCACUAAGACCUACUCAUUUGAAAAAUUAUCAUCAAUCUCAAGCUCAUCCCCAAGUUUUAGCAUUGUUUCCUCCUCUAGGCGUGACAAAUAGUCAGCUACUUGGUUUUUGGUACCUUUUUAAUCCUUAACCUAAAAAUCAAAUUCUUACAGCAAAAGUACCCAUCGAAUCAACCUCGACUUUGCAUUUUUCUUUUCCAUGAGAUAUCUAAGAGCUACAUUGUCAGUGUGCAUAAUGACUUUGGUUCCAAUCAAGUAGGACCAGAAUUUUUCAAAGUUAAACACCACUACAAAAAACUCUUGUUCGAUCACUGUAUGAUUUUUAUAUGCAAGAUUUAGUGCUUUGAUGGCAUAGUAGAUGGGAUGAAGUAUUUUUUCUUACCUUUGACCUAGGACUUCUCUUAAUGCCACACCACUAGCAUCACCAUCACUUCAAACGGAAAGGUCUAAUCAAGAGACACAAUAAUGGAAGUUGAAGUCAACCGCUCUUUUAAUCACUCAAAAGCCUUAAGGAAAGCAUUAUCAAACAAAUUUCACCUCCUUUUCUUUCAAUUUACACAAUGGAUUUGAAAUUUUAGAGAUGUCCUUUAUAAAUCGCCUAUAUAAACUUGCAUGACCCAAGAAACUCCCAAAUACCCUUCACGAAAAUUGGUGGAGACAAUUUGUCAAUCACCUCAAUCUUAGCCUUGUCAACUUCUAUCACAGUUUUUAGAAAUUUGGUGCCCAAGCACUAUUCCUUCCUUGACCAUAAAGUGACACUUCUCCCAAUUAAGCACUAAGUUACACUCGUCACAUCUUUGUAAAGUGUUGGAUAAAUAAACCAAGAAAUUAUCAAAUGAUUCACCCAUAACUGAAAAAUCAUCCAUGAAAACCUAAAUAGUGUCCUUCACCAUGUCAUAAAAAAUGGAUAUCAUGUAAUGGUGAAAGGUUGCGGGAGCAUUUCAAAGACUAAAGGGCAUACUUUUACAUACAAACGUCCUAUAUGGACAAGUGAAAGUGAAUCCUCUUGGUCCUUGGGAGAAAUAAAAAUCUAAUUAUACCUCGAAUAACCAUCAAGAAAACAACACCAUCCUCUAUCUACAAGAUGUUCUAGCAUCUGAUCCAAAAAUAUUAUAGAAAAAUGGUACUUCUGGGUCCAUGUAUUCAGCUUCAUGUCAUCAAUGCAUACUCGCCAUCUAGUGACUAGUCUCAUAGGAACUAACUUAUUUUUAUUAUUGGGAACUACAGUGAUUCCAACUUUUUUAGCCCACACUGAACCAGGCUCACCUAUUUGUUAUCGAUAAGUGAAUAAACUAUACCUACACCUAACUACUUAAUGAUUUCCUUCUUCACAAUGAUUUCCUUCUUCAUAACCUUUUUCAUAAGUGGAUUCAAUCUAUGCUAAUUCUCAAUGCGAGGUAUGUAUUUUGACUCAAGCUAAAUUUUGUGAGUACAAAUUUUGGGUGGAAUUCUAACCAUGUUAGCAAUGGUCCAGCCAUUAGCCCUCUUAAACCUCUACAAAACUAAUACUAAAGCCUCAACCUACCACUCUAAUAAAUCUGAUGCAAUGAUAAUCGAUAAGGUAUUGUUAGCCCCCUAGAAUGCAUAACGCAAACAAGAGGGAAAGGCCUUGAAUUUCGAAACUAGUGGCUUCUCAAUAGAUGAUUUAAUUGGCAGGGUUGCUCUAUUUAUUUUUUAUAUCAAGGUUUAACUUCUUUGGUGCAUAAGUGUAUGAACCUCUACCAACAAGUGUAUUCACCAUCUCAAUAUACCCAUUAGUAUCAUCACUAUCCAAAUUCAUUAUCACAGCUGUGAGUGCCUCAAGACUAUGUCACUUAUCAAUUGGUGCUUCUAAUGUAUUUCUAUCUAAAGUGUCUAUCACCGAAACCAAAUGAAUAUCCUUUGGCUACUUCAUCGAUUGACAUAUAUUAUAAGUAACUUGCUCAUCAUUAAGUCUGAACUUCAUCUAUCCCAUAUUUAUAUCAACCAAUGCCCUAUCUAUGUCUAGGAAAGACCCUUCCAAUAUGAUAGAGACCUCAAAGUCAACCUCAUAAUCAAGAAUCAUAAAAUCAGCUAGAAAUAAAAAAGAUAAUACCUUUACCAAAAUAUUACACAAGAUACUGAUGGGUUUUAUCAUCGUAUAAUCUGCCAUCAAAAGUCUCAUAAAGGUUAGUUUACCUGACCCUAACUCUAAUUUCAUAUAGAAGACUACCGGCAUCAAGUUAAUGCUAGGAUCACAUAAGGCUCGUGUAAAAUUUGAAAAUCUAAUAGUAUAAGGAAUGGUGAAUGCUCUUGGAUCUUACUUCUUUUUAACUAAAAGACCGCCCUUUUCUUUAUAAUCAACUUUCCUCCUCCAAUUACCAUCAUUCUCUCUAGUCUUAUACCUACACAUGUCUUUAUAAUAGUUCUGAGCUUGAUUCUCUUACGUUGAGUUUCAAUUUUCUUGAUUAGAACCUUUAUUCUUGGCUUGAAAACACAUUAUAUCUCUAUUAAGAUUCUUAGUUUCUUCUUCAGAAUUUAGGUUUUCAUGUCUAGAAGUCUUAUCGUGUGCACCCACUAUAUCACUUUUUUUACUCCAACUACCACAAAUUUCUUAGAAAGCAAGCCAAUCUCAGUCUUUAGCUAUCCACCUCUUGAGCCAUUGUCUUAUCUAAUGCUCUCUGCUUGUUGGAGGCACCAAUUAAGUAAGUACCAGCUGAUCUAUCUGUCUCCUGAGUAUACCAUCCUCAAUUAGUUUUAGUAAUUUGGUCUAAGAUUAUAGAAGGAUGCUCCCAUCGUAGACUCAUGAAGGUUACACUUGUGAUAGUGUCUUCAAAAACCUUAGUAUUAGCAUUUACGGCUUUAUAGAAUAUCUCAAGAAAGUUUGUACCCAUGAUUCUGUGAUUUGGAAUAUUCUGAAGCUUUUUCAUGAACCUUAACCAUGUCUUAUAUAGUGGAUCUAAAUACAACUACUGAAAAUUAUAGAUCUCAUCUUUCAAUUGCAACAUUGUAGAGAGUGGAAAAAUUAAUCUAGAACUAAGGUCUCAACUCAUUCCAAGAGGUGAUAGACCCAUAAGUUAGCUCACCUAACCACAAAGUCACCUUUUUCAUCAAAGAGGAUGGGAAUAACCUCAGUCGUAUAACUUCUUGACUUACCCCAUGAAUAUUAUAUAAAGUGCAGAUCCAUAUGAAAUUCAUAAUGUGCAUAUUUUCAUCAUCAAAAGGUAGUCCAACGAACAUCCCCUUCAAAUUUAGAAACUAAAUCAUACAUUUGUAAUAUCAAAUUUGGUACCUUAGAACAAUACUGGAGGAAUAAUUGCACAUAUUUCAAUUAGCUUAAUAUAUCCAGAGUCUUUUUUCUAGAUCAUCAUACACUAGCAAAUAUUGUUAGAUGAGUUUUUGUCCUCUGUUUCUUCUUAUUCUCCACCUUACAUCAAGUUCAGCUAGAUGACUUUCUCUCCCUUUCUAGAUCUUUCUUCACUGGUUGCUCGUCGAGUAGCCGCUUUCCUAGUAUUUUUGUGAGCUAUUAAGUGAGUGGUAACUUUCCCUAAAGUUUAUGUAACAUCACGUAGAAGUGGUUAAUUCAAUUUUGGGUCAUCAUGAACCCCUUCAAGCAGGGCUUCUUGAUCAUAAGCUCCUUUUUUUCUCCAUCUUUUGAUUAUGCAUUAGAGUCUUCUCAAGUUCAGGAUCAAAUGGAAUCAGAGGAUUUCUUUGACUUCAAGUGAUAGGCAUACAGCAGUGUGUGCCAUAAAAUAGUAGAAAACCAAAAACCAACAAACAAAACCAAUAACUUCAACAAACUUGAUCUAUCAAUUCAUAACCAUAUUCCUCGACUAUAGUGCCCAAAUUUGAUGACGCCUAAAUUAUAUCUCUCAAAAGUAUAAAGUGGUUCUUGGUAAAAUAUAAAAUCCAACUAGGUUGGGGUCAAUCCCAUGAGAAAUAGCUCAAAAUUUUGUCAAGAGUUUGUCUAUGUAACAGGAAAUUAAGGAAAUAAAAAGGGGGGUUUUGUAAAAGUAAAUUGUAAUGGUAACAAUUAUUGGUUAAUUAGAUUGAGACCAACAUGAGAUGAGAACUAGGAUUGUGAUCCUCAUGACUUCAUAACUCCACAGGAUAUUUUUUCUCAUAAACUAUCUUGAUGCCUUACAUGUAAAAUCUAACAAGAUAUGUAUCACCUAACCAUCUCUCGACCUUGGUUAAAUAAAUUUCACUCACAUUUUCUUGAACUUAGAGCGUCUUAUUACUAACCCUUGUUCUGUGAUCUAAAAUUAACUAUCUCGAUUAAGGCUCAAGUUAAUUAGAUGACGGUUGGUAGCUUUAAAUUUUUAUUUUUAUCUCCUUUUUCCAAUCUCUACCUAUCUGUAACACCCUAAAAAUGGGUCUUGAGAUGUCACACGGUGCUCAAGACUAUGAGUAGCCUUAAGCUAACCCUGUAAAACUUCUACUAAAUCUGAAACUCAUAAUAGAGAAAUAUAGAUAUAUAAUCAAAGCUAAAAUGCAGAAGUCUUUCUGAUCUAAGCUGAAAUUAUCUGAACAUAAUAUCUUAAAAUACUUGACUUAGAAGUAUGGACAAUAAAUACUGGAAAUCUGAAUUAUAAAUAGCAACCUGACAGGCCUCUACUACAAAUAACUAGAGAGCCACUGGGAUAAACCCCCAGCUGACUCAAACUAACUGAAAAUACUGAAUCAACUACUUUAAUAAGAUGAAAAACUAAAUAACUGGGUCUCCGAACUAUGAGGGCUCACCAACAGUGGAAUAUAGAUAGAGAUGCUCAAAAUCACUCAUGCUGCUGAAACUAAGCACCUGAACCUACAUUAUUAAACAAUGUAGCACAUAGACAUAUAUAUGGAUCAGUACUUCUGAAAUGUACUGAGAAUGUGGGGGUGAAUGCAUAAGUAAAACAAUACCCCAAAGAUAAUAUAAACUUGUAAAGAAUGCAUGCUAAGUAUAGAUGACUCACAUUAGCUUGAAUAACUGUAAACUAAGAAUCACAGUCAUAAGUAGUAAGGCAUGUUAUAUAAAUCUUGCGAGUCAUAACAUUUAGUUUCUAAAAGUUGUACUUCUAUUCUAUCUUUAAAUCAUGCUGACUAAGUGUAAAAAGGACUCACUUUUAUAUCUGUAAACUGAAAGCUGAAAUCUCAUAGCUAAUUUCUUAUGUAAAGAAAUAUCUGAAUAAAGCUGUGAGCCUUUACACUUAGUUUCUAAAAGCUUUUCUGUUAGGAUUACUCUUUUCUAUAGAGAGGUUCUUCUAACCGACAUACACUAUAUGAGCUAUCAUAGUGUCCAACAUCUAGUUCCCUUAUGGGAAAACCUCAUGUUGGGGAGAGGUGUCAUACUCUUGCCAAGGAGUAUAACCUAAGCUAAGUGAUCACAUAUGUAACUAUUAUCCAUAUAAAAAUGGGAAUAAUCAGAUAAUUUGAUCCUACGUUAGCUUAUAGUUUUGGAGCAUGUGAACAUACCCAAAUCGGUGCUAAAUACUACUCCCUUUAAUCUGUAUGCUCAUUCUGUAGGAAAUCCACUUUAAAACUAGUAUAAGGGUUUAUAAUAAAAACCAAUUGUGUAUCUUCUUAAUUUAAACUGUAACUGAAACUGUAAAGUGGAUUCCAUAUCUAAUAUAAGAUCAAAAGAUCAAAUCUUGAUCAAAAUAUGAAAAUAAACUAAUCAUAGGGUGCGUAAAGCACUAUCAUUCUUGAAAUAUCGAUAUUCAAACUAGGGCUUAGUAACCCAUGCAUCAAAUUCAUGUCAAAUCAUCUUAAAGUUCAUGCUUGAUAAUGAAAGCCCUAAAAUUCAAUUCUAAAUCUGGAAAAUAAAGUCACACACAUAAAUAUACAAAAGUAGACAUAUAAUUCAACAUCUAAUUCACUUGUGACAUCAUAAUCUUCAAAUAGUGAUAAGUGGGUAUAAACCCUAAACUAAAAUUCAUAUAAUUUCAAGUAAAAUUCAACUUUAAAACUAAUUUUGGGAACAAGUAUGAAAGGAUUAUCCUUGUUCAUAACCCCGCAUACCUUAAUUGAUGAAUAGAUGAAGAAGCUUGAACUUUGAGUUCCUAUUUGUUCUCUUGAAGAUUGUUUCUUGAAGAUCUUGAAUUGGGAAUCUUGAAUUUUGGGUUAUCUUGGAAAAGAAAUGUGGAAUUUACAUUUCUUGAGGUUUAAAAUUUGGAGUUCUAGGGUUUCUUGAAAAGAAAUUGUAAAACCCCACAAAAUUCCUAGCUUAAUUCAGUCCUUUAAGCUAGUUAAGGAGUCCUAGACUCAGAAAAUUCUAGCUAAGUAUUCAGACUUAGUAUAUUUUUAGCCUUUGAAAGUUGGCAAUCUCAUUUUGUGACCAUAAUGUCCUUUAAAUGCCUUUAUCUUAGUUAAUUCAUGAUCAAGAAGGUCAAUAGGUGUUCCAGAACAAGUUUUAAAUUUUUUUGACCUCAUUUAAAUCGUGUUUGGAAUCCCAAAAUAGUGGACCAACGCGAUCUUGGCACGCCGUAUCACCCAUCGCGUUGGUUAAUAUUUUCCCCAGCUAUCAGCGUGUAAUUCUAGUGAACCAAUGCAAUCUUGGUGUGAUACGUUGGAUAUCGCGUUGAUGCCAUCGACGCACCGUGUUGACCUACGAUCACUGGGUCAAAUUUCAGUCAUUAAAAGACCGCAUCCUUGAGGUUAUUUAGGUCUUUUUUCCCUACCUCUCAUCCUAAAACAUGAAAUUUAGCCCCUUUAAAGGAAUAAUAUAAUCAUUAUUCAUAAAAUCCUCAAGAACAAAACCCUAGGGCUAUUAAUUCAGGAAUCAAAUUCAAAAGAUUUCACCAUCAAUUUUUUCCAAAUUCAAACAACAAGGUAUGUAAAGUAUUCAUCCAAGGGUCCCUUCCACCCUUGGAGUUCAAGAAACUUUUUUUAAAACAUGAAUUGUAAUUUUCAUAUUGUGGGUUUGAAUGUAAUCAUGUUAAUGUUGUGGUAUGUGUUCCAAAUUGAAAUCAUUAUGUAUUUAUUGGUAUUAUGAUAGCGUGAAAGUUGAAUUUUGAUUGUCUUAUAUUGAAACCCUUGAAUUUUGAAGUCAUGAUGUAUUUGCAUUGUUGUUCAUGCAUAAGUAUAAAGCUACGCCUACCAUGGGUUUGAUAAAAUGCUAAAUUGAGAUUAUGGUGCUUUUAUGAUCCUUUGGUGGUCUAAAUGAUGAACUUAUGCUAUACCCACAUGUUCACAGUGUCUUCCAUGCUAAAGCUAUACCUUGUAUGUGUUUAAUGGAAUGCUCAUGAGAUUGGUUUAAUGAAAUUAUGAUAUGUUAGCAUGCCUUCCAAUUCAUGUGCAAGCUCAUGACUUUCAAGUGAUUGAUGAAAUGACUCAUAGAAUGUAUUGUGAGUUGUUGACUAUUGUCAAUUAUUUAAGAAUUGUCAUGUUUUAUUAUGCUAUCGAGUCCUGGGGGUAUUUAAUACCCAAAAAUUUAGCUGCCUGCCUAGAGCCAGUGUCAGUUACAGAACAGUCUCUGUCAUGUCACGAUCAGUAGUACUCUAGUUAAGUUACAAAACUCAGGAAAACUCAGUAAACUCAGUAUCAAUCCAGUCCCAUUCAGUAUUUAGUUCAGUUCUCAAUAAUCUCAGUCAGCUAACAAAACUCAAUAGUAUUCCGACAGUCAAUGAAACUCAGUAAACUCAGUUCAGUUCAUUUAAUUAGUAUAAUCAGUAAUAGAUUAGUCCAGCCUAGUAUGAACUAGGAAAUUAGUCCAGUGUCUAUUCAGUUAGGAGUAGGAUUCAACACCGAGUGAACCCAAGAAUGGGGGUUCACCUGCCAGCAGAGGGUGUGAUCCUUAGAAGCAAUCCUUGCAUUCCAGAACUACGUAGCCAGCAUAGGUUGAGAUAUAACCCUAUGAGUCUAGGGUUAAUACAUAUUAUUCAAGUUUUCCUACUACCAUGGGGUUAAUAAAAGAGCUCCCUAUCAGAGAGGUUUAACUCAUGGCUUAUCCUUACCCGUGGCACGGUACUGACACCCUUCCAACUGGGGUUAUAGGUCUGACCCUAAAUUUAUUUAGAAAAGAGGCAUGUCAGUUAGAUGAUUACCACUCACAGUCUCAAUCUCAGUCUUCAGUGAAGAACUCAGAUAGUUCUACAGAUUUUAGAACUAUCAGAUACAGUCACUCAGCAGUAUAAAACUCAGCUAGUUUCAUCAGAAUCAGGAUUGUCAGACACAGUCACUCAGUAAAUAGUAAAUCAGCUAUUAGUUACAUCAGAAUCACAAUUUCAGUUAUAGUUCAUGUAUUCAUGCAUGUACUCUCAUUCAGUCAUGCUCAUAUUAUUCAGUUAUUAUUGUUCAUACAUAUGAACCUUUGCAUUCAGCCUUACCUCACUUUGCGUACCAGUACAUUCAUACGUACUAACACAUAAUUUUCUUUAUGUUAUGGUGUUUUAUACCAUAGGUUCAGAUGCAUGAGUUCCCAAGCACCCUUAGCAGUUCAGAUGUUCAGUAGACAGAGUAGUGGUGAGUCCUCAUAGUUCGAGGAUAUGUUUUUUCAUUCAGUUUUUCAGUCUAUUAUAGUAGUUAGAGUUAAUUGGGGACAUGUUCCAUCAACUCCACAGUUCAGACAAUUUUAGAGGCUUUUCAGACUAGAUGGUUAGACAGUAUUCAGUAUUUCAGAUUCUGAUAUUUUAUCAGACUUUAUUAUUUUCUUUUCAUCAGUAUUACAAUUUUGAACCUUAUGGUAUUUCAAGCUAUUAUUCUGUAUUAUACAAUGUUAUUGCUCGGUUAUUACAGUAGGUACCAGUCAUGGGUUAGCUUGUGGUCCUUUAUGAUUUUGAGCAUCGUGUAGCAUCUAGGGUACCAAACUCGGGGCGUUACAAACUUGGUAUCAGAGCCUAAGGUUUAAUAGUGUCCUAGGAAGACUGAAAAGCCUCAUCUAGUAGAUUUUUGUGCAUGGGUAUGUAGCAUGCCACACUUAUGUACGGGAGGCUAUGAGAUAUGUUAGGAAUGGUUUCUUUUCUUUCAGUAUCUAUGACGUGCGAGUGAGUAUUAGCUCAAGUAAAGCCCUUAUUCUAAUCUGCUCCUUUUUUUAUUUACAGAAUAUGCCUCCUAAAAGGACUAAUGAAAGAAGAACCAAGAACCAGUCAGCAUCUCAGCCCGUUUAGAAAGAUCCCCUAGAUAAGCACGUCUGUCAUGCAUAAUUCAGAACUGCCUUCACUACUCUAGAUAAUUCAGUAGCGGCUCAGAAUAAACGGUUAGCUGCUACUGUUUCGGCUACCCCAAUGGCUAAUAUUAUUGCAACUAGGAUUUGGGACUUUACUCGAAUAAAUCCUUCCUUAUUCUCAGGAUCUAAGCUAGAAGAAGAUCCACAGAAGUUCCUCGAUCAGGUUCAGAAAGUCAUAGAUAUGAUGGGAGUGACCUCUAAUAAGAGUACUAAUUUAGUCUCCUAUCAUCUAAAAGAUAUAGCCCAUACGUGGUUUAAGCAGUGGAAGGUAGACAAGGGUGCAGAUGACGAGCCUAUAGAAUGGGAAGAGUUUGCUACAACCUUCUUAGAUAGAUUCUUUCCCUUAGAGCUGAAAGAAGCCAAAGUGUUAGAGCUCAUCAAUCUCAGGCAAGGCAGUAUAAGUGUGAAAGAGUAUUCCCUCAAGUUUACUCAGUUAGCCAGGUAUGCUCCCCAUAUAGUAGCGGAUAAUAGAUCCAGAAUGAGCAAGUUUGUGUCUGGGGUAUCGGGUAGAGUGGUUAAGAAGUGCAGGACUGCAUUGUUGAUUAAGGAGAUAGACAUAUCUAGGCUUAUGGUCCAUGCUCAACAGAUUGAGGAGCAGAAGCUUGAAAAGAAGGAGAGAGAAAAUAAGAGAUCUAGUAUAGGUAGUUUCAACUUCUCAGCCUAAGUCAGAGAGUGGGAAUCGUUCUCAAUUCCAUCUGAAAUCUUUAACCCCAGUUCCAUCUUCAGCUAGUCCACCAGUACCAAAGUUCAGGGAUGACAGUCAUGAUAGGGCACUAGGAUCCAAGACCCAGAGUAGUGCAAGCGGUGUUCGUACCAACCCAUUUUACGAAGAAUAUGGUAAGAAUCAUAAAGAGAUGUGUAAAGACGGCAGUGAUAUAUGUUUUGGAUAUGGUGAGUCAGAUCAUAGAAUUCGAGAUUGUCCAAACCCUGGCCUACAAAGUCAGCACAGUUGUCCUUCAGCUCAGUCCAGUCACCCGAAUCAGCAGUGUACCACUUCUAGUACCGCCAGUGGGCAGUGCCCAAUUAGGAUUUAUGGACUCCCGUCCAGUCAAGGUUGAGAAAGUUCUUCAGAUGCAAUCACUGGUAUGUUACAGACCUCCCAUUUACAUGUUUAUGCCUUAUUAGAUCCAGGAGCUUCUCUACCUUUUGUAACUCUUUAAAUAACACUUAACUUUAAAGCUAGACCAAAUAUUAACAAAACCUUUCUCAGUUUCCACCCCAGUGGGUCAGUCUAUCAUAGCCCGAUGGGUAUACAGAAACUAUUUGGUUAUGAUAUCUCAGGAAGUUAGGCUUCCAGAUUUCAGUAGUAAUAUUAGUACGGGUAGAAAAGUAAAGGGUGGGAAUGAUUCCCAACCAUCUUUACCUCUAUUCAAAGUUUGGUACUUCAGUCAUCAUGAUAACUAUGCAUGCUUUAUGCCUCAGCUCCAUAAACACAGCUUAUAUUCACACAUUUUUCAUAGAAUCGCGUGCACUUACAGUUCCUAGUAUGAGGAGUUCCAAUUUACUCAGUAGUACUAAUCAUGUUCCAUGAGUAUAGAAAACUCCAAACUUAGGUCAUGCAGCUUAUGACUACUACUCUCAUGCUUCACAAUGUGUUUAGCCCCUAUUACCAUCUUGAUUAUAGUUAUCAUUACAGUCUCAGACAUAGUGUCAGCCUCAGUCUCAGUCCAGUAAUCAGAUUCAUAACUCGAUUCAGUCACAGGAUUGCUCGACUAUAGCAUAAAGUUAUCAGUUACUCAAAUUUUAAGCAUUUCAGUACCUCAGUUUAUAGAUUAUUUUAGAAUCACAUCAUAUGCUUAGUCUUGCAUUCUCAAAUAAUACAGUUUUCAUGAAUUCAUGCUCAGUUAUUUCAUGUUAUCUAGUUAGUCCUUACCUUAUAUACACGACACUCUAUGGUUUCAGUUCAGUUUUCAGGCUAAGUAAAGUUCAGUAUUGCAGACCCAGUAUUCAGAUAUCCAUCAUUCAGUUAAUUUGAUAAGUUAGUAUGUUUAUACAUUCAUGCUCAGCAUUCAUGCGAAUACUUUCAGAAGUCUCAAGUGAAGAGUUGUACUAAGGUGGAGUGUAUAGUUGAAAGGAUAUUCAAGGGAUAUCUCUAAGCUUGAGAAUUUUAGUUGCAGUGCAUAAGGCUUAGCUACUUCAUCUUAGAUGAUGUUUUGUAGGCCAUGACUCACAUUACAUAACUUAUUCAGACCAUGCCAAGUUUUUCUUACCCCCUUAAAGUCACUAGAACUAUAUAAAAAGAGUGUCAUAAAAAGGCUCCAGUCGAGUAUAAGUUUUCAGUAUAAGUUAGUCUGCAGAACCAGUAAUUCAGUUUAGCAGUUAGAUGGACAAGUUUAUAUGGUUUCCUAUUUUUACAUUUAUUCGUGCUAUCUGAAGUCUCAUGAAUGUAACCAUUCUAAGAUGGAUCAACUAGGUAGUUCCAUGUUCAGCUUAGUUUAUGUAUCAUGUCUCAGUUUCAGAUCCUAGAUAUUCAGUCAUGAUUCAUUUUGUAGGUUCCUUGUGUAUCGCCCUAGUUUUCCUUAAUAUCUCAACAAAGUCAGCAUUCUCCAUGGGAUAUAGUGUCCCAAGAGGGAGAUACGUUAUAAUCCCUCGAGCUUCUAUAGCCUCGACCUUCUAUUUUUUUCUCCUCACGUAACAAAUUCAGUUUGGAAUGGUGGGUACUCAUAGGUUAACCCUCAAGUUCCAAUCUUAUCCGUGAGCCAUGUAUUCGGGGGCUCAGUUCAAUGCCUGAUAAUCAGUCCAAGUAUCAUAUUUUAGGCUCAGUUAUGUUCUCAUAUUCCAAGUUCAGGCAUGUUCAGUAAUGAUCCCGAGUUUGAUAUUGGUGAUUUAGUAUUCUUGGAAAUCUCUUCCAUGAUGGGAAUGAAGAGGUUCGGCAAGAAGGGGAAGCUUAGUCCCCAGUAUGUCGGUCCCUUCAAAAUUCUCAAUCGCUUCGGCAAAGUAGCUUAUGAGCUCGAAUUGCUUUCAAAUCUAUCUUAAGUCCAUCCAGUGUUCCACGUCUCCUUGCUUAAGAAGUGCAUAGGUGACCCAGCAGUCGUAGUCCCUAUAGAGGGCCUAGAUAUUCAGAACAGACUCUCUUUUAAAGAUAUUUCAGUCAAAAUCCUCAUCUACCAGAUUCACAGACUGAGGAACAAAGAAGUCCUUUUAGUCAAAGUUCUUUGGCGGAAUCGGUCUGUUGAGAGAGCUACUUAGGAAGCAGAAGAAUACAUGCAAACCAAGUAUACUCACCUCUUCCCCGAUAAUCUAGACUCAGCCCAAGGUAAUGGCUUUUCUUAAGCUUAUUUAGUUUUAUGCUCAGAUUUCCAUUACAAACUUGGUAUCGUUUACCAUUGCAUAUUCAGUCAUAUGUUCAUGAGCCAGUUCAGUCAUGUAUUCAUGCAUCAGAUAUGCAUGAUUAGUAUGAGAAACUGAGCUAAUCAGUACUCCCAGUCAUGCAUUCAUGAAUUAGAUCGGUUAUGUAUUCAUGCAUCAGAUAUGCUUGUUUAGUAUGAAAUUCAGCAUAUCAGUAAUAUUAGUCCUAUAGUCAGGUCCCAGAUGUUAAUGUCCAGUAAGUAAAUUCAGCCUAUUUGUACUCUUAGUUCAGUCAGUCUUAUUUGAGGAUGAAUGUUCCCAAGGGGGAGAUAUUGUAAGACCCCACAAAAUUCCCACCUUAAUUCAGUCCUUUAAGCUUGUUAAGGGGUCCCAGACUUAGAAAAUUCUAGCAAAGUAUUCAGACUUAGUUUAUUUUUAGUCGUCGAAAGUUGGUAAUUUUAUUUUGUGACCUUAAUGUCCUUUAAAUACCUUUAUCUUACUUAAUUCAUGAUCAAGAAAGUCAAUAGGUGUUCUCAGAUAAGUUUCAAAUUUUUUGAACCUCGUUUAAACCGUGUUUGGAAUUCCAAAAUAGUAGACCAAUGCGAUCUUGGUAUGCCGCGUCGCCCAUCGCGUUGGAUAAUAUUUUCCCCAGAUAUCAGUGUGUAAUUCCAGUGAACUGGUGUGAUCUUGGGGAAAAGCGUUGGAUAUCGCAUUGAUACCAUCGACGUGCCACGUCGACCUGCGCGUCACUGGGUCAAAUUUUAGUCAUUAAAAGACCAUGUACUCAAUGUUAUUUAGGUCUUUUUUCCCCCGCCUCUCAGCCCUAAAACUUGAAAUUUAUCCCCUUUAGAGGCAUAAUACAAUCAUUAUUCAUAAAAUCCUUAAGAACAAAACCCUAGGGCUAUCAAUUCAGGAAUCAAAUUCAAGAGAUUUCACCAUCAAUUUUUUUAAAUUCAAGCAACAAGGUAUGUAAAGUGUUAAUCCAAGGGUCCCUUCUACCUUUGGAGUUCAAGAAACUUCUAUUAAAAAUAUGAAUUGUGAUUUCCAUGUUAUGGGUUUGAGUGUAAUCAUGUUAAUGUUGUGGUAUGUGUUCCAAGUUAAAAUCAUUAUGUAUUUCUUGAUAUUAUGAUAGCGUGAAAGUUGAAUUUUGAUUCUCUUAUAUUGAAACCCUUGAAUUAUGAAGUCAUGAUGUAUUUGCAUUGGUGUUCAUGCGCAAGUAUAAAGCUACGCCUACCAUAGGUUUGAUAAAAUGUUAAAUUGAGAUUAUGGUGCUUUUAUGAUCCUUUGGUGAUCUAAAUGAUGAACUAAUGCUAUACCCACAUGUUCACAAUGUCUUCCAGGAUACAGCUAUACCUUGUAUGUGUUUGAUGGAAUGCUCAUGAGAUUGGUUUAAUGAAAUUAUGAUAUGUUAGCAUGUCUUUCUAUUCAUAUGCAAGCUCAUGACUUUCAAAUGAUUGAUGAAAUGCCUCAUAGAAUGUAUUCUGAGUUGUUAACUAUUAUCAAUUAUUCAAGAAUUGGCAUGUUUUAUUAUGCUAUCGAGCCCUAAGGGUAUUUAAUACCCAAAAAUUUAGUUGUGUGCCUAGAGACAGUGUCAGUUAUAGAACAGUCUCAGUCAUGUCACGAUUAGUAGUACUCUAGUUCAAUUACAUAACUCAAGAAAACUCAGUAUCAAUCUAGUCCCAUUCAUUAUUCAGUUCAGUCCUCAGUAAUCUCAGUCAGCUAAUAGAACUCAGUAGUAUUGCAGCAGUCAACGGAACUCAAUAAACUUAGUUCAGUUCAGUUAAUCAGUACAAUCAGUAACAGAUUAGUCCAGCCUAGUAUGAACUGGGAAAUCAGUCCAGUGUCUAUUUAGUUGGGAGUAGUAUUCAGAACCGAGUGAACCUAAAGAUAAAGGUUCACUCGCCAGCAGAGGGUGUGAUCCUUAAAGCAAUCCUUGCAUUCCAGAACUACGUAGUCAGCGUAGGUUGAGAUAUAACCCUAUGAUUCUAGGGUUAAUAUAUCUCAUUCGAGUUCUCCUACUAGCUAGGGGUUGACAGAAGAUCUUCCUGUCAGAGAGGGUUAAAUCACAUCUUGUCCUUACCCGUGGCACGGUACUGACACCCUUUCAAGUGGGGUUAUAGGUUGGACCCCAAAUCUAUUCAAAAAGGGGCAUGUCGGUUAGAUGAUUACCUUCCACAGUCUCAGUCUCAAUCUUCAAUAAAGAACUCAGAUAGUUCUAUAGAUUUCAGGAUUGUCAGAUACAGUCACUCAGCAAUAUGAAACUCAACUAGUUCCAUCAGAAUCAGGACUGUCCAACACAGUCACUCAGUAAACAGUUUAUCAGUUAUCAGUAACAUCAGUUAAUCAGUAUUUAGACUCAGUAUUCAGUAUUAUCAUAAUUUUAGUUACAGUUUACGUAUUCAUGUAUGCACUCUCAUUCAAUCAUACUCAUGUUAUUCAGUUAUUAUUGUUCAUGCAUAUGAACCUUUGCAUUCAGCCUUACCUCAGUUUGUGUACCAGUACAUUCAUAUAUACUAACACAUACUUUUCUUUGCGCUAUGGUGUUUUAUACCAUAGGCUCAAACGCGUGAGCUCCCGAGUACCCUUAGCAGUUCAGACGUUCAGCAGACAAAGUAGAGGUGAGUCCUCAUAGUUCGAGAACAUAUUUAUUCAUUUAGUUUUUUAGUCUAUUUUAGUAGUAGGAGUUAGUUGGUGACAUGUCCCAUCAAAUCCACAGUUUAGACGGUUUUAGAGGCUUUCAGACUAGAUGUUCAGACAGUAUUUAGUAUUUUAGAUUCUGAUAUUUUAUCAGACUUUAUUAUUUUCUUUUCAUCAGUAGUACAGUUUUGAACCUUAUGGAAUUUCAUCCCAUUAUCCCGCACUAUACAGUGCUAUUACUUACUUAUUGCAGAAGGUACUAGUCAUGGAUUAUCUUGUGCUCCUUUGGGAUUAUGAGCACCGUGUAGCAUCCGGGGUACCAGACUUGGGCAUUACAAAAAUUUUGGUGAAAGUUUAUAAUGCUUAGAAUAGGUUUAAUCUUGUUUUUUCACGAUUUAGGGGCUUGGGAAAUGACUAGGUUGCCCUUUGGAAAAUUAAGUUUGGAACUAGAAAUCCUAAUUUUGUAAUCCACCGUGAUGCAAUGCUAUCACGGUGGCUCGCUGAAAAACGGAUGAGUGCUAUUUUGCACUAUGGUAAGAUGUGGAACUAUCAUGUUGCAUCAUUGGAAAAAAGACGAGUGCCAUUUUGAACUCCAACGAGAUGCGGGGCCCGUUCUAUCGCAAUUUCUAGUGCAACACUGGACAAUCACGAUGAGCUACUAGAAAAGGUAUGAACGGGAUUUUGGGCUUCACCAUAAUACGGUGUAAUCAUGGUGAUUCACUGGAAAAUGGACAAUUGUGAAUCUGCACUUCACCGCGAUGCGGUGCUAUCACGGUGAACUACUAUUUUUCACUAAAAGUGCCAUAACUUCGCACCCGAGUAUCGGAUUUAGGUAAAAUUGAUAUAGUUGGAAAUCUGACUUAAUUAUCAACACAUUGGUGGUUCUGGAGUUGGAAUAGUCUACACGUAUCAAGAGUUAUUCAUAUUUUUAAAGUUGGCCCUUGACACACUAGGAGCUAAAUGGAACUAAGAAAAGUACGAGGUAUUACACUAUCUCCCCCUUGGGAAUAUUCAUCUUCGAAUGAGACUAGUUAAACUGAGGAUACUAAGGAACUGAGACUAUAUGAUGGCAUGUACAACUGAAACAAAACUGCAUGACUGAAUCUAAAUCAUACUGAGCGACUGAACUAAUCUGUGAAUGCAUGAAUUUACAUAAAGAUAAUCGCAUGGCUGAAACUGAGACUGGAAAAGAACUAAAUUAAGGAAGACUGUUACCUUAGGUGGAAUCUGAGUUUGUGGAGAAAAGAUAAGGAUACUUGGUUCGCAUGUCUGCUUUUGCUUCCAAAAUCACUGACUUCAAACUUUGACCAAAGGAACUUCUUUGUUCCUUAGUCUAUGGAUCUGGUGAUCAAGAAUCUCUACUGGAAGUUCUUCGUAUGUAAAGCUAUUCUAAAUGUUUGUGCUUUCUAGAGGGACUACAAUAACUGAAUCAUCCAUGCACUUCUUCAAUAAGGAUACAUGGAACACUGAUGACAAGUCUGCAUGUAGCUCAAGCUCAUACGCUACCUUCUACACACGACUUAACAUCCUGUAGGGACCUAUAUAUCGGGGACUAUGCUUCCCCUUAUUUCCAAAUCUCUCCACCCCUUCAUGGUAAAACCUUCAAAUAAACAAAAUCACCAACUUCAAACUCAAGAUCUCUCUUUCUUACGUCUACAUAUGAUUUCUGAUGACUCUGAGCUACUUUCAAUCUCUCUCUAAUCAACUAAACUUUCUCUAUAGCUUCAAACACCAUAUAUAUCCCAAUCAAAGUGGACUCACCUACUUCGAACCAACCAACUGGUGAUCUAAACCUACGCCCAUAAAGAUCCUUAAACGGGGCCAUCUGAAUACUAGAAUGGUAACUGUUAUUGUAGGCAAACUCGAUCAAAGGAAAGUGGUCAUCCCAAAUGUCUUUGAAGUCAAGAACAUAUGCCCUCAACAUAUCCUCUAAGGUCUAAAUGGUCCUCUCUGCCUGACCAUCUAUCUACGAGUGAAAAGCUGAACUAAGAUGAACUUGGGUACCAAGACAUUUUUGAAAGGCUUUCCAAAACUGAGAGGUAAACUGAGUACCCCUAUCUGAAAUUAUGGACAAGGGAACUUUGUGUAAUCUAACCAACUCUCUGAUAUACAGAUUAGCAUAAUCUUCAACUAUGUAGGACGUUUGAACUAGUAAAACAUGGGUUGAUUUGGUCAAUCUGUCUAUAAUAACCCAAAUAAAAUCAUGUUGCCGACGCGAAUGGGGUAAUCCUGUGACAAAGUUCAUGUUUACCUCUUCCCACUUCCAAAUGGGAAUACCAAACUCCUGCAAUAUGCCACCAGGUCUUUGGUGCUCUACCUUAACCUGAUGACAAGUUGCACACUUGGCCAUAAAUUCUGUGAUAUUUUUCUUCAUACCACUCCACCAAUAGACUUUCCGCAAGUCGCGGUACAUCUUGGUGUCUCCUGGGUGAAUAGAGUAACGCGCACCAGGCACUUCUACCAUAAUUUGCUGCCUCAAAUCAUCAACACAUAGCACACACAAUCUACUCUAGUAUAUCAACACACCAUCUCCCCCUUGGGAGAAAUCCUCUACCUUUUGGUCUUUAACUAACCCCUUUAGUUUGACAAAAGUAAAGUCCUUAUCUUGCUUCUCUUUCAUUAUAGAAACUAUAGAAGACUCUGAACUACUCUGAACCCAAAUAUUCCCCUCAUCUGAGUCAACCAACCUCAUACCUAAUCUAGCUAACCAGUGAACUUCUCGAACUAAUUCUCUCUUAUUGUUCUCUAUAUGAGCAACACUGCCCAUAGACAGUCUACUAAGGGCGUCUGCCAUUACAUUGGCCUUGUCCGAAUGAUAUAAUACACUCGUGUUAUAAUACUUCAAUAAUUCUAACCACCUUAUCUGACGAAGAUUUUACUCCUUCUGAGUAAAUACAUAUUGUAAGAUUUUGUGGUCCAUAAACACAUCGACAAGCACCCUAUAAAGAUAGUGCCUCCAGGUUUUCAAUGCAAAUACAAUGGCAGCUAGCUAAAGGUCAUGGGUAGGGUAGUUAUUUUUAUGAGGCUUAAGCUGUCUAGAUACGUAGGCUAUCAAAACAAAACUCAGACCAAUAAUAGAGGCAUCACAAUAGACAAUGAAUCCAUCCGUUCCAUCAGGUAGCACUAAAACUGGGGCUGAAGUAAGUCGAGCCGUUAACUCCUAAAAACUCUUCUCACAGGAAUCCGAUCACUAAAACUUAACUUUCUUUUAGGUCAAUCUAGUCAUAGGGGAUGCAAUAGAUGAAAAACCUUCAACAAAACAUCUGUAAUAGCCAGCUAAACCCAAGAAACUUCUGAUAUCUGAUUAAGAGAAUGGCCUAGGCCAGUUUAUUACUGCUUUCAUCUUUUUGGGAUCAACUCAAAUACCAUCAUUGGAAAUAAUAUAACCAAGGAAAGCUACUAAUCUUAGCAAAAAUUCACACUUGUUAAAUUUGGCGAACAACUGAUGAUACCUAAGAGUGUGUAACACAAUUCUAAGAUGGUCAGCGUGAUCAUCCUCACUACAAGAAUAGACAAGAUUAUCAUUGAUAAAUACAAUGACAAACAUGUCUAGAUACUAUUUGAACACUCAGUUCAUCAAGUCCAUAAAGGUUGUUGGGGUAUUUGUCAGCCCGAAAGACAUGACUACAAACUCAAAAUGACCAUAACGGUUCUGAAGGCUGUCUUUAGAAUAUCACAUUCCCUUACUCUAAGCUUAUGAUAGCCAAAUCUAAGGUCUAUCUUGGAAAAGUAACUUGCACCUUGGAGUUGGUCAAAUAAGUCAUCAAUCCUAGGAAGAGGAUAUUUGUUUUUGAUUGUGACUUUAUUCAGCUAACGAUAGUCAAUGCACAUUCGUAAAGAACCAUUUUUCUUUCUUGCGAAUAGGAUAGGAGCACCACACAGAGAAACACUGGGCCUUAUGAAGCCUUUAUCUAAGAGGUCUUUAAGCUGUUUUUUUAACUCCUUAAGCUCAGUUGGAGCCAUACAAUAUGGAGGAAUAGAGAUGGGCUGAGUAUCUAGAAGAAGGUCAAUACCAAAUUCUAUUUCCCUGUCGGGGAGGUACCCCUGGCAAAUCUUUGGUAAAAACUUCAGAAAACUCAUUAACUAUGCGGACUGACUAAACUGUUGGAGCCUCAGACUUAGUGUCUUUGACUUGAACUAGUUGAUAGAUACACCCUGUUGACAUCAACUUUCUGACCUUAAUAUAAGAUAUGAAAUGACUCUUCGAAGACACGGAAUUACCUUCCCACUCAAAGACUGGUUCAUCUGGAAACUGAAACUUCACUACUCGAAUGUGACAAUCUAUAGAUGCAUAAUAGGAAUAGAGUCAAUCCAUACCAAGAAUAAAGUCAAAUUCGGUCAUAUCUAACUCUAUUAAGUCUACUAACACUAUCAAAUUCUGUAGAUCUGUUUGGCAACACUUGACUCACCCAGUGGAUAGAAACUAAAAAGGGCUUAGGAAGCUUUUCAGGACCUACUUUAAAAUUUACUGCAACUAGUAAGGUCACAUAAGAGAAAUUUGACCCGGGGUCUAACAACACAUAAAUAUCAAGAUGAAAAAUAUGAAGCAUACCAGUAACAAUAUCUGGUGAACUCUCCUUCUCCCGAUAGGAUGGUAACGCAUAAAAUUGAUCUGGCACUGACCAUCACCGGUACUGGAUGACGUGCCUUUAGGAAGGACUGGGCAACCUAGAGGCACUGGUGGGCUAGUAGCCUGAGUCUAGGGACAAACAUCCUUGUUUCCUUUCUUAGCAUGCGGACACUCUUUGAUUCCAUGACUCAACUUAACACAACCAUAACAACCUUUUUGUCCCAACAAGUACUCACUAAGAUGAUUCUUACCACACUUAGCACAUGAAGGAUAACUAGGUUUUCCACUUACACUAUUCUGAGAUCUGGACAUAGAAGUCUUACCCCACUGCUGUUGUCUAGCUCUGAGGCGAGAGUAAUGGCUAAAUAUGGCACUGGCAUAGAUGAGUGACUCUAAAACUAUAAAUGAUUUCCCCCUCCAAACUUUGUCUGGCCAUAUUCAAACUGCCCGACUUAGCCUUCUUAUUUCCCCUCUCUCUCCUUUAACUUUUCUACCUCAAUCUGUUGAGCAUGAAUCAUUAACCUAGUAAGAUCCAUAUCCCCAAUAAGCAUGGUAGUCCUAUACUCCUUGACUACCAAACUAGAUACUCCAAUAAUGAACUUAAUCAUACUCUACCUAGGAUCAGCCAUCGUAUUAGGGGCAGACUUAGAUAACUAGGUAAACUUAAGGUGAUACUGUUUCACUAUCAUCGAGCCCUGCCUCAGGUUCACAAAAUCCCCUACCUUGUCUUCUCUCACUUCACAUAGAAAUAACCCAUCUAAAAAUACAUCCUAAAAUACCUGCCAACUCAUAGAAGCUACAUUCUCACCUCUACUAUUCUUCUACAUAACCAUCCAAUUAUACGCCACAUCUUUUAGCCUAUAGGAUACUAACUCUACACUCUCCUCUUCAGUAAUAUAAAUAAUUUAGGUGAUCUUUCUCACCUUAUCUAAGUAAAUUUGUGGGUCCUCCCUUGCUUUAAACCCAAAGAACUCAGAUGGAUUUAUUCUCAAGAAGUCAUGAAUUCUGGCUGCUGCUAAAUCACUAUUCUACUAAAGUAGGACUGCCACCUAAUGGUUUCCAUGAACAUUAGAAGUCACAGCCUGGACUAACGCCUGAAAGGCAGCUCAAAAUUCAGCAUGGGAUACAUUCUCAUUCAGAGGGUCAGCAGGCUAGGCUGGCUGGUUAUCAUUUCUGCGUGCAUUAGCUUGGCGAAGAGGCAUAUUCAACUGUCAUAUAAGAGCAUGAGUUACAAGCAGAUAGAGACACUGUAAACAUGAUAGAUCAUGAAAGAAAGAGAUGAUUUUCUAAAAUGUCCCAUAGCCUUUUGGUCAUUAAUGUGGUGCACUUCAGACCCAUGAUCAAGACUCUACAUAAUGUAGCUUGUCUAACUCCCUAGGACUCUUAUAACCUUAGGCUCUGAUACCAAGUUUGUAACGUCUUGAAAUUGGGUCUCGAGAUAUCACAUAGUGCUCAAGACUACAGUAGCCUUAAGCUAACACUAUAAGCCUUCUACUAAAUCUGAAACUCAUAAUAGAGAAAUAUAGAUAUAUAAUCAAAGCUAAAAGAUGGAAGUCUAUCUGAUCUAAGCUAAAAUUAUCUGAACAUAAUAUCUAAAAAUACUUGACUUAGAAUUCUAGACAAUCAAUACUGGAAAUCUGAAUCAUAACUAGAAGUCUGAUAAGCCUCUACUACUAACAACUAGAGAGCCACUGGGACAAACCCCCAGCUGACUCGAAUUGACUAAAAAUACUGAAUCAAUAACUUAAUAAGCUGAAAAACUGAAUAACUGGGUCCCCAAACUAUAAGGACUCACCAACUGUCUGGAUGUAAAUAGAGAUGCUCAAAAUUACUCACGCUACUGAAACUAAACACCUGAACCUACAUUAUUAAACAAUGUAGCAUAUAGACAUAUAUGUGGAUCAGUACUUCUGGAAUGUACUGAGCAUGUAGGGGUGAAUGCAUAAGUAAAACAAUAACCCAACGGUAAUAUAAACUUGUAAAGAAUGUAUUCUAAAUGUAGAUGACUUACAUUAGCUUGAAUAACUUUAAACUUAGAAUCAUAAUCAUGAGUAGUAAGGUAUCCUGUAUAAAUCUUAUGAGUCAUAACAUUUAGUUUCUAAAAGUUGUACUUGUAUUUUAUCUUUAAAUCAUUUUUCCUAAAUGUAAAAAAGACUCGCUUUUAUAUCUGUAAACUGAAAGCUGAAAUCUCAUAGCUAAUGUCUUAUGUAAAGUAAUAUCUGAAUAAAGCUAUGAGCCUUUACACUUAGUUUCUAAAAGCUUUUCUAUUAGGAUUACUUUUUUUUGUGGAGAGGUUAUUCUAACUGACAUACACUAUGUGAGCUAUCAUAGUGUCCAAUGUCUAGUUCCCUUAUAGGAAAACUUCACAUUGGGGAGAGGUGUCAUACUCUUACCAAGGAGUAUAACCUAAGCUAAAUGAUCACAUCUGCAACUGUUAUCCAUAUAGAAAUGGGAAUAAUCUGAUAAUAUGAGCCUUUGUUGGCUCAUAGUUCUGGGGCAUGUGAACAUACCCAACUCGGUGCUAAAUACUACUCCCUUUAAUUUGUAUGCUCAUUCUAUAGGAAAUCCACUUUAAAACUAGUAUAAGGGUUUAUAAUAAAAAACAAUUGUGUAUCUGUUUAAUUUAUACUAUACUUGAAACUAUAAAGUGGAUUCCAUAUCUAAGAUAAGAUCAAAAGAUCAAAUCUAGAUCAAAAUCUGGAAAUAAACUAAUCAUAGGGUGCGAAAAGAACAAUCAUUCUUGAAAUAUCAAUAUUCAAACUAGGGCUUAGUAACCCAUGCAUCAAAUUCAUGUCAAAUCAUCAUAAAGUUCUUUCUUGAUAAUGAAAGCCUUGAAAUUCAAUCCUAAAUCUAUAAAAUAAAGUCACACGUAUAAAUAUACAAAAGUAGACACAUAAUUCAACAUCUAAAUCACUUGUGACAUCAUAAUCUUCAAAUAGUGAUAAGUGGGUAUAAAUCCUAAAUUGAAAUUCAUAUAAUUUCAUGUAAAAUUCAACUUUAAAACUAAUUUUGGGUACAAGGAUGAAAGGAUUAGCCUUAUUCAUAACCCCACAUUCCUUAAUUAAUGAAUAGAUGAAGAAUCUUGAACUUUGAGUUCCUAUUUGUACUCUUGAAAAUUGUUUCUUAAAGAUCUUAAAUUGGGAAUCUUGAAUUUUUGGUUAUCUUGGAAAAAGAAUGGUGGAAUUUAGAUUUUUUGAGGUUUAAAAUUUGGAGUUCUAGGGUUUCUUGGAGAGAAAUUUUGGUGAAAGUGGGCGUAUAAUGCUUAUAAUAGGUUUAAUCUAGUAUUUUUCAUGAUUUAAGGGCUUGGGAAAUGACUAGAGGUUGACCUUUGGAAAAUUAAGUUCGCAACUGGAAAUCCCAGCGGUGAUAUCAUAGUGGCCCACUGGAAAAGGGACGAGUGCUACUUUGCACUAUGGCGUGAUGCGGCAUUAUCGUAUUGCAUCACUAGAAAAAGGACAAGUGCCAUUUUACACUCCAACGCGAUGUGGGGCCUGUUCCAUCGCAAUUUCUGGCAUGACACUGGCCAAUCGCGGUGAGCUAUUGGAAAAGGAACGAACGGGAUUUUUGGCUUCACCGUGAUGUGGCAUAAUUGAGAUGCUUCAUUGGAAAAUGGACAAUUGUGAAUCUGCAUUUCACCGUGAUGCUGUGCUAUCACGGUGAACUAUUGUUUUUUACUAAAAGUGCCAUAACUUCUCACUCGAGUAUCGAAUUUAGGCAAAAUUGGUAUCAUUGGAAAGCCGACUCAAUUAUCUACACAUUUGUGGGUCUAGAGCUAGAAAAUUCUACACGUAUCAAGAGUUAUUCAUUUUUUAAAAUUUGAACCUUGACACACUAGGAGCUAAACAGAACUAAGAAAAGUACGAGGUAUUACACUAUCUCUUAAGAAAUUCUAGAAUGCAGGCAAGUUCCUAACAUUUACAACUGUUAAGAAAGUAAUCAAUUCAAAAGAAAUAUCAAUACCAGCAAGCACACCAAUCUAGAAUGACUUCAUACUUAACCCAUUUUAUUAAUUCAUUAUGGUUCCAACAACCCUAAUUAUGUGAUUUUAGCCACUCAUGAUUGCGAUCAUACAAGAAGAAUUCAUAGAUGGAAGCAUACUUGUACACUUGUAAGAAUAAGAUAAAAAGUUGUAAUCUCAAAUUGAUUAAAAAUCCCAAAAACUAAUGUCAAUGAUUCCAAGAUCAAUAAUAUGUCUAAGAACCCUAAAAUAAUGUAAAAGUGUGUAAACAAUCAUACUACAAAAUGGAGUAUUUAUAGAUACAAAACGAAUCUUAUAUUAAAUAGUGUAGGAGAAUUAGGUCAGCAAUAUUCUAUGAUUUAUUGACUAAAGUAGUAAACAAGACCCACAGUCAUGUCUCUCUCAUGGAAAUCAAACUCUGUAUCAAUCUUUAGUACUUUAUUCACAACUGUCACUCAAGAGUCGUGAGUUGGAGCCACGGAUCGUAGAUCAAUCCAUGGAAUUAAACUUUUAUCCAGCUUUAAAACUCUACUCAAGAAUCCCAUUCAUAAGUUAAGGGGAUAAUUUAUGGGUCAUGUACCACGCUCGUGAGUACCUAACUUUUCCUCACUCAAUAUAUUUUUAUCCUUUUUCUCAGUUUUUUCUCAUAAACUUAUUUUCCUGCACAAUUAUCCCAAAAACACAUAUAUCCAAUAAAAAUACCAAAGUCUUGUAUAAUUUCCUUAUUUUAAGUAUCAAAAGUGCCAUGAAACCAUGGCACAUCAGCUACUCACAUAUGUGAUUUUUUAGUACUGGAUCAGAUAUAUAGAUUAUAUUUGGUUGCUAUUUGAGAGUAUGAUACACAGGUUGAUUUUAUUAUGUUAGAUAUAGUAGAUUUCAAUAUGAUUCUAGGCAUGGUUUGGUUAUCCCCCUAUCAUACAAUCUUGGAUUAUUUUGCCAAGACCAUUACCUUAGCCAUGCCUAAAAUACCCUUGGUUCUAUUAUCGGUAUAUUAAUUGACCAGCUUAAAGGUGCAGCGGUGUUUCUAAAGGAUGAUUUGAGAUUUGGUUACCACCAGUUGAGGAUCAGGGCUGAGGACAUCCCUAAAAUAGCAUUCAAGACUCAUAUGGCCAUUACGAGUUUCUCGUGAUAUCUUUUGGGUUGACCAAUACCCCAAUAACUUUUAUGAACUUGAUAAACUAUAUUUUUAGGCCUUAUUUGGACUCCUUUGUGAUCAUUUUCAUUGAUGAUGCUCUAGUAUAUUUGAGGAGUAUGAAGGAGCACGAGCAGCAUUUGAGGACAGUGCUCCACACUUUGAUAGAUCAUCAGUUAUAUGCCAAAUUCUCAAAGUGUGAGUUUUAUCUUAAGUAUGUAGGUUUCUUAGGGUACAUGGUGUCCAUAGCUGGUAUUAUGGUAGGUCCAUGGAAUAUUAAAGCUAUUUGUUAUUAGGCUAGGCUUAUGUCUCCUACUGAGGUUCAUAGUUUUAUUGGAUUAGCCCCUUACCACAGGUUGUUCAUCAAGAGAUUUGCUACCAUUAUAGUCCUUAUGACUAGAAUGACUAGAAAAGAGGUUCUAUUCCAGUAGUCCAUGAGUUGUAAAGUGAGAUUCUGAAGCUCAAAUACUUGAUUACUCCAUCUUUUAUCCUAAAUCUUCUAGUUGAGGGCAAAGGAUUCACCAUCUAUUAUGAUACUUUUGGUGUUGGUUUGGGUUGUGUUCUGAUGUAGUGAGGUUAUAUUACUACACAUAUAUCAAGGCAGCUGAAGAUGCACUAGUGCAACCACCAUACUCAUGACUUAGAGUUGGUCGCAGUAGUUCUUACACUUAAGAUUUAAAGGAAAUUUUUGUAUGUGUUCAUUACAAGAUCUUCACUAACCAUCAUAGUCUUUAGUAUAUUAUGACCCAUGAGGUGCUUAAUUCGAGAAAGCAUAGAUGGAUUGAGCUACUAAAUAACUAUGAUAUCUCUAUUCUAUACCAUCUGUCAAGGCAAAUAUGGUAGUAGAUGCCUUGCAUCAGAGGGUAGUGAAUAUAUGUAACUGGUUCUUUAUUUUAGUUUUAGAGCAGUUGUUGGCUUUGGACAUCUAGUCCUUAGAUAACUUUAUAGUUUGACCUGAUAUUUCUGAUCCUAGGAGGAUUCUUGCUAGUGUUGAGGCUAGAUCUACCUUUUUAGAGCAAAUUCAACAUCAUCAGUUUAAGGAUGACAGACUUUGUAGCAUUUGAGAUUAGGUGCUAAGAGGUGAGUUCAGGGGGGCUACCUUAUAUUCAAAGGGUAUUUUGAGGUUUAACGAUCGUAUUUGCAUUUUAAGAGUUAGAGAUUUGAUUUAGUUGAUUCUUUUAGAGGCUCAUAGCUCUAGAUAAUCUAUUUACCCUAGGACAAUUAAGAUGUAUAAUGAUUUGAAGCAGCAUUAUGGGUGGAGUGGUAUCCAAAGAGAUAUAGCAGAGUUUGUGGCACAAUGCCUGUGUUAUCAGUAGGUAAAGGUUGAGCAUUUGAGAACUAGUGGAUUGCUACAGAGAUUACCUAUUCUCGAGUAGAAAUAGGAGUGGGUCACUAUUAAUUUCAUAGGUGGUUUACCUCUACUUCUCAUAGUUUUGAUAGCAUUUGGAUCAUCGUGGGUUGAUUGACCAAAUCUACCAAUUUCAUUCCUAUUCAGACUUUCUACAGUGCUGAGAGGUUGUCCAAUAUUUAUAUUCAAGAGGUAGUUCUCCUUCAUGGGGUGCCCAUGUUUAUUAUUUCAAACCAAGGUUCUCAGUUCUCUUCUAGCUUCCAAAAGAUAUUUCAGGAGGAUCUAGAUACUCAGGUUGACCUUAGCACUAUUUUUUAACCCUAAAAUAAUAGGCAGCUAGAGUAGACUUUUUAGUUUUUGGAAAAUAUGCUUCGUGCUUUUGGUUUGGAUUCCAGAUAUUAGUAGAUAAGUUUUUACCUUUAGCAGAGUGUGCUUAUAAUAACAGCUUUUAUUCCAGUAUCUAGAUGGACCCAUUUGAGGUAUUGUAUAGAAGGCAUUGUUGAUCUCUAAUUGGUUGGUUUGAGACCCCUGAGGUUAGGCCCUGUGUUAUAGAUUUUCUUCUUGAGUCAUUAUACUAAGUUUGGAUGAUUUAGGAUAAGCUACAAAUAGGUAUGAGUAAGCAAAAAGUUAUGUUGAUCGUAGACUCUGUGCAUUGAGGUUUAAAGUUAGUGGUCGAGUCUUUCUGUGAGUUUUACCUAUGAACGGUGUGAUGAGGUUUGGAAGGAGAGGCAAGUUCAAUCCUAGGGUAUAUUGGACCAUUUGAGAUCCUAUGAAUAGUUGGGGAGGUAGCAUAUAAGUUAGCUUAGACUCCAGUGUUUUUAGCCAUCUAUCUAGUUUUUCAUGUAUCUAUGUUGGGGUGCUAAAUUCCAGAUGAGUCUCAUGUGCUUCGGUGAGACUCAGUUUAGUUGGAAGAAAGUUUGACCUUUAUAAAGGAGCAUGUGUCUAUUUUGUCCAGAGAUGUUAGAUAGUUGCGCUCUAGAGAUAUUUCUAUAGUUAAUAUAUAAUGGUAAUACCAUUUAGUCUAGAAGGCUACCUAGGAGAUAGAGUGUGAUAUGUGGACCUAUUAUCCCAACUUGUUUGAACCUUCAGGUACAAACUUAUCCUUUACUUUUGCGGACGAAAUCCUUUUUUAAUAAUGGAAGUUGUAAUGACCCUCUAGGUCAUUUCCUCUAUUUUUGUGUGUUUUCUCUAUUUAGUGAUUUUUUAUAGCUGCCCCAAGUUAUUAUAACUUGCUGGGACUGACAGUUUAGUUAUCGGGCAGUUCAUUUAGCUUUUAGAGCCAUUUUCCCAUAUUGGAGAUUUUAAGGUUAAGGAAUGGGUCUUGGGCCAAAACCUUAGGUAAAGAGCCCCAGAUACCAUUUCUAAUAGUCUUAUCAGUUCCAAAACAUCAGUUUUAGUCUAGGCGGACCCUUGGUCUAAAUUUUGAGGCUUCUAGACUCAUUUUGGGCUAUUGGAUGAAAUUUGGCUAAAAUGGCCCCUCAGGAUGUAGGACCCACUUUUUAUUGAAAUAACCUCAGACGAAAAUUUUGAUGGCAUCUUUGAGUCUGGAAUAUCAAAUUUGGUAGGGUAGCAACGUUUGUUUGCUAGCAUGGGAUUUUGAACUAAUUUAAAGCACCCUAUUGGAGUCCAACAUUGAACAUGGUUGGUGACAAGUUAUCUGAUGCAGCUGCUUAAGCGGCUAAGGGACCACUUUAGCGGUAUCCACUUUAAGUCCCUUCAUUUUCCAGCUCUAAAUCCAACUAUAAAAUCCUCUAUUAGAGACUACUAUAAGCUCUGAAUUCAUGUGACAAUUAAAUAUUUGGGGUCAGGAUUAACAUGAGGGCAUGUUGGUGGGCACGUGAUCGUCGUUAUCUUCUAAGUUUCAUUUAACUUUUGGUGAAAUUCUCUAAAUUGAUUCUUUAAUUUUUGAUGUUGAUUAGGAUAGAUUUUGCUAUUGUUUGAGCUCAAAUUUAGCUAAAUUUAUAUGGCAAUUGAUCCUCGACUUGCGUGGGGUGCUAUGAUGAUUUCAAUUUUGUGACUCCGUAAGCAGACCCCAAGUAGGAUUUUUAGUUUGAUUUUUGACCCAGAGCAUUUAUACGUAAUAUGAAUUUCCUCAUCUCGAUACAAAAAUUGUGGUUUUUCUAGCGUGACGGUUCUUAGAGGCUUCUCUAUAACAACUUAAUUUUUGGUGAUUCUUGUGAAAUAUUUAUGUCUAUGUGAUUUGAUUAUUUUACCCCUCCCUACAAUUGCUUUAAGGUAUUUCUGGGGUGGGGGGAUGAUUGGCAUGGUUCCCAAUGCCUUUCAGCGUGAUUUAUAUAAAUUUGUGGUAUUUGGUGGUUAUAAAGGCUCUAUAAUUGACUUAGAUCAAAAUUUAUUUAUUUGUGUGUUGGAUAGCAAAAUGGACUUUACCAGCAAAUCCAGAACAUUGAUUUUAGGUUGGUAACUUGGUUGGUAUAGUUUUACGAUUUUUACAUUGCAUUUUGACCUCAGUUCAGAAAGUUGUAAAAUUAGGUUUCGGGGAUCAGCUUUGUAAAAAUGAUAUUUUUUCAAAGAUUUAAUAUCGCCAUUGAGUCCGGAAUGUCAAAUUUGAUAGGAUAGCAUAGUUCGUAUGCAUUCUCAAAAUCCCUAAAGAAUUUGGAGGGGCCCUCGAAGAGUUGGAAUUUUUCAAGUCUCCACAACUGGUGCAUGAUAUGGUGCAACCGCUAAAGCGACCUUUUGGGGGCUUUACCGGAGAGUGCCAAAGUGGCCAUUGGGCGCUUUAACAGAGGGUACCAAAGCAGCCAUUGGGCGAUUUAGCCUUCCUGAUACAGUUUCCAGGUACCACUUUAGCGGUAGCCCAUCCACUUAAGCGAACCUGCACCUACUUUAGCGGUAGCCCAGCCGCUUUAGCGAACCUCCACCUCAGCGCGGGUACCACUUUAGCGGCCCAAGGUCCACUUUAGCAGCACUUAGGUAUAUUUAUAUACCACCUUCUUUUCUCAAUUUUUUUACAUCAUUUUCGAGACUUAGAGCUUGGAAUUUUGAAUUUUUGGGCUAUUUCUUUCAUUUUUAGGCUUGGGUAAUGUCCAAAUCCCUAGUUUAAUCAUUUUCCUUUGGUUUUUAUCCUCAAAACAUUGUUAACACGUGAAUUCAAAGAUGGAAAUUGGGGAUGUUGGCCUGAAAUCCCUAAAGUAAUUACUCUUUGAUUUAAACCCCAAUUCCAAAUCGUUUUUGCUUGGGUUUUCUCCCAUGAGUUUCUUUAAUUAUGAAAAAUAUAUUGUUGGACAAAAUUUUUAGUUUUUUCCUUCUUUUUCAUGAACCCAUUUUGGGGUUCCAUUUUGAUCUCGACCCAAAAAUGGGCAAUACAAGUAUCAUUGGCUUUCUUUUGAUGCAUAGAUUAUAUAUUUGUAUAUUCUAGUUGAUUACAGAUCCAUUCAUGAGGAGUAAGCUCGGGUUGAAGACUUAUUUUUAUCGAUUUUCCAUAUUUGAGGUAGGUUAUGGCUUAACUUUCUUUAGACUGGGAUGGGUAGUAAAUAUUAGCAUAAAAACACAUUAUGGGCAUGGGAACGAAUCAUGGAAAUGGUUAUAUUAUUGUGUUGUUCCUGUGUUGGGGGUUUUAUUAUUGUUAUUUUAUGCUUUUGAGACAUUAUUUGCUUGUGUGAUCUGUGAGGUCUUAUGCGAUGUAGUUGGUCUUGCGUAUAUGUAUUUGGUUAUAUCUUUACAUAUGAAAGAGCCCAAAUUAUAGUUUAUGUGGUGUCAGUGGCAUAUUACCAUGUAUUUUUACUACAUUGGCAUAUGGAUUACAUUGGGUUCAUAGAUGAUGAGAAUAUUGAGUGGAUGCUCACAUGGUUUGUAUAUUGGUUGGAUUUUGGAAAUUCUCAUUCUUGUUGGUUGUGAGAAUUACAUCCAUAUAUCACAUACAUUAUGAAACAUUGGUACCACCGUGGAAAUACUGAAAACACUGGCUUUUUCUGACAGAAAAUGUGACAUCUUUAAAAACCCUAUAUGGAUGGAUGUGUCGGAGGGGAGUUAUGGAUAUUAGUAUUGGAUUGGGAUUGUAUAUGGAUUGACAAACCCGCCAUGGGUCCUACCUAAGGAGCACAACCCAGUAGGUGUAUACAAAGGUUGUGUGACAACCUCGUGCAUCAUCAGUAUUAUCUUCAUUACAUAUCACAUAUAUUGUGCUCACUCUGUGUUGGAUUAUCAUCUUGGCAUGAUAUUUGUCUAUGUGUACUUCCUUUCCAUAUUUGUAUUUGUGAUAUCAAUAUACUUGUGUUUCUUUCUCAUAUUUGCAUGUGGUACAUGUGAAUAUUAUAGAACUUUUAGUAGAGACGGUGUGGGCUACAGUUUGGGACAUUUUUUUAUUAUAGGUGAUAUGCCGAUAGUGUGUAUUUUGUGUACUUUAUUUUUUACUUUGCUUAGUUAGCCUAUGAUACCUACUGAGUACAAGUGGACCAUACUUAUCCCUACUGCUUUUUUUUGGUGUAGAUCCAGGUUCGAGUGUGCCGUAUAGCAAUUGAUUCAGGCAAUACUGGAGUCUAUUCAAGGUAGCAGUUGAUCCAUGCAUCCAGAGUUGACUACUCUAUUUUUAAUCUAGACUGUCUUAAUUGUAUUUAGACACAGAGUUGUUCCAUUUUAGGUAUCUUAUGUAUAUUUUGACUUAGAGUUGUACUAGUUAGUUCUUACACUAUGACACCAAGUUUUGGGUAUAUUGUAUGGUGUCUUUGGUUUUGAAUUUCGUAUUUUGUUAUGUAUGUGUGGUUCAACUUUGUUCUAAGAGUCUUGCCUUGGGAUUGGUACUACCUUUUAUUUUAUAUCAGUUUGGAUGAUUGGCUUACUUGUCAAGGUCUGUCAUGACAAGUACUAUCAUGACCCUUGGUUUUUGGGUCAUAACAAAUUGGUAUCAAAGCAGCUAGGUCAGUGGUCUUAAUAGUGUAAGAAUGGGGUGUCUAAUUGAAUCUUGUAGAUCGGUACGUAAACGUCCAUAUCUACCUUUAAGAGGCUAUAAGAUGUCUUUAAGAAACUUCUAUUAUUUUUUCCCUUACUAUGCGGAUCUUUUAUAACUUGUGUUGUAAGUCAUAUUUCACUCUUUUCUACACAGAUAAUGACUAGAUCUCAUGAGGUCAGAUAUAUGGAGACUUUAUUCGAUGAGAGAGCCCAAUAUAGAGAGUGAGUUGCGAGUUGUAGACAAACUCAAAGUAGAGGAAAGGCAUGAGGAUCUACCCCAUCCAAAGGUAGCACUAGAGGACUUUUCCCUGAGCCUCGAAUUGAGCAGGUUGGAGACAUGGGUCCUAAUUCAAUCUCGUUGAGUUUUUCUACCCCCAGUCAUGAAGGGGUUUCUAAUUUACUUGUUAACCAUUUGAAGGGUGCUCUUUCGAGUAUACCUGGUAUUUUUUCAGGUUUGAGUAUUGUACCUCCGUCUAGGCUAAAGUCCGCUUAUGGUGUUUCUCCAAUCUCGAGUGUGGAUCCUUCAAUGGUACCAAUAUCAGCGUAUGGUACUCUACAGACUCCGACUGUUAUCCCUUCUUCAACGUCUAUACUUGAGUAUAGUAUUCCAAGAUCAAGAGUUUAGCCUUCGUCUAUGUUACCUCCUCAGGUGGGAUCUUAGCCAGCUAGAUUCACUAUGCCUCCAAUUAUUAUAAGUACAAUUAUGUCCUUUGAGGAUCAAAAGAGGUUUGAGAGAUUCACUUGUUUGUGUCCUCUUAGGUUUAGUGGUACGGUAGGCGACGAUGCCUAUAAGUUCUUCAUUGACUGUCGUGAGAAGUUGCAUAACCUGGGCAUACGUAAGUCGCAUGGGUUGCUUAUACUACUUAUUAGAUGAGAGAUGCAGCUAGAUAUUGGUGGGGGCCACUUGUUAGUUGCAGGCCUCUUGAUUCUCCAAAGAUGGCUUGGAAUCAAUUUGCUAAAAACUUUUUAGAGAGGUUUAUGCCUUACAGUCCGAGGGAUCAGCUGAGAGAUAAGUUUUAUCACCUAGAGCAGGGUUCCAAGACUGUUGUUGAGUAUGAGGCAUACUUCCAUGCCAUGUCUAGAUAUUUUUAUACCAGCAUUGCCACCGAAUCUGAGAAGAUUGGAAAGUUCAUGAAAAGGUUAGAUAAUUCUCCUCAUCUAGAUACAACUCAGAUGGUAGUGUAUGGAGCAUCAUUUUAGAGUAUAGUUGAUCAUUCUAAGAUAACUAAGUCUAUUCUUCGAGCAUCUCAGGGAGGCACCAAGAAGGUGCGUAGUUAGGGUGAGUUUAGAGGUCAAACUUCUCGAGGUAGGGAUUGUAUAGGUUUUCGUGGGUAUCAUAGUAGACCCAUGCAGGCAGCUUUAUAGAGUUUAGGUAGUGGAUCUUUUGGUUUAGCAGCUUUGGGUGGUCGUUCUAGCUCAAUCAUACCUCAUCCUAUUAAGUGGCCAUAGAAUUUGCUACGUGUGUAAUGAUGUUGGCUAUUUUCCAAGGACAGUCCCUGCCAUAUGUUCAGAGCUACUCAUAUUUCAGUUGGGAGAGGUAGUAGUUUUACUAAAGGUAUACGGGAUAGAGAUAGUGGUUCUCGUGGUGGUGGUCGUGGGGCUACUCAGUCGGCUGGUGGUUGUGGAUAGUGCUAUAUUGUACUCACCAGACCAGAGGUAGAGGCUUUCGCCACUGUUAUCACAGGUAUCGUCCCAGUUUGUUUCAAAUCUAUAUCUAUGUUAUUUGAUUUAGGGUCAGUUUUCUUCUAUGUGUUUGCAUAUUUUAUUUUGGGUUUUGAUUUUGCUAGUGAGCCUCUUGUCAUGCCUCUUCAUGUAUCUACCCCUAUAGGAGACUCCUUAGUGGUGGAUUAGGUACACCGAUCCUGUGUUUUGACUUUUGCGGGCCAUGAGACCUAGGUAGAUCCGCUUGUCUCAGAUAUGGUAGAUUUCGACUUCAUCUUGAGUAUGGAUUGGUUGGAUCCUUACCAUGUUGUCCUAGAUUUUUAUGCUAAAAUCGUCACUUUAUCUCCACUAGGUGUACCAAGGAUAGCUUGGAAGAGGAUGUUUCAUUCGAGUCCCAAAAUAGUGAUAUCUUUUCUUCAGGCUAGUCGCUUGGUUGAGAGGGGGUGUUUAUUUUAUUUGGAUCAUAUUUGUGAUACUAGUAUUACAUCACCUUCUUCUUUGGAUUAUAUUCAUAUUGUCUGUGAGUUCAUAUAACAACCCAAAAAUGGGUCUCGAGACAUCACACGGUGCUUAGGACCAAAAGUGAUCCAAGCUAACCCCUGUACUGGCAUAAUGUUAAGCAACUGAUCUAAAUAUGUAUAAAAUGAUUGAGUUUACUGUGCAGGCAUAUAAUCAUGAUGAAAUCUAAGAAAAUACAAUACUGAUAAAAUUUUACAUUCUAAUAAAAUUGGAGAGUAGAACUAAAAUUACAUGACUGACACUAACUGACAUCUGUGAAGCCUCUACUAUACUGACUAUAGGUAGCUGGGACGCAUCCCCAACUACUACUAAUUAAUACAUAUGAGUAAGAAAGUAGAGUACAUAAAUAACAUCUAACUAAAAUCCCCAAAGUAGGAGGACUCAUCAUCUGCUUGAUGGAAUCUGCAACUGUCUAAUCGUGAUAGAUGGACUACAACUGAACUGGUACCUACAUUAUUAAAUAAUGUAGCACAUAAAUGUAUAUGUGGAUCAUUACUUUUGGAAUGUACUGAGCAUGUGGGGGUAAAUGCAUAAGUAAAACAAUAUCUUCAUGUUCACAUGAACUUGUAAAAAGGAUGCAUGCUAAGUAUAAACGGCUCACAUUGGCUGGAGUAACUGAAAGCUGAAAAUCAUGAAUCAUGAAUAAUAAAGCAUAUUGUAUAAAUCUUGUGAUCCAUAACACUUAGUUCUAAAAGUUGUACUUUUAAUCUUUUUGCUAGUGGACUAAGUAGAACUGAGGUUAAGUCUGUUUUCAAAUCAUGCAGGCUAAGUGUAAAAGGACUUACCUUUGUAUCUGUAAACUAAAAGCUGAAAUCUGAUGGCUAAUGACUUAUGUAAAGCAAUAUCUGAAUAAAAUUGUGAGCCUGUACGAUUAGUUUCAAAAAGUUAUUUUGUUAUUCUUUUCUGUUAGAAUUAUUCUUUUCUGUAGGAAGGCUCUUCUAACUGACAUACACUAUGUGAGCUAUCAUAGUAUCCAAUGUCUAGUUCCUUUAUGGGAAAACCUCAUGUUGGGGAGAGGUGUCAUACUCUUGCCAAGGAUUAUAACCUAAGCUAAGUGAUCACAUAUGUAACUGUCAUCCAUAUAGAAAUAGGAAUAAUCUGAACAUGUACCUACAUUAGCUAGUAGUUCUAGGGAAGUGGGAUGCGCUAAACCCAUACUACCCGCUCGGUGCUAAAUACUACUCCCUUUAAUCUGUAUGCUCAUUCUGUAGGAAAUCCACUUUUAAAACUAAUAUAAGGGUUUACAAUGAAAACCUCUUGUAAACCUUUUUACUGUAAACUAUAGCUAAAUCUGUAAAUUGGAUUCUAUAUCUAAGUUGAGAUUAAAAGAUCAAAUCUUUGUUCAAAAUCUGAAUAUAACAAGUCAUGGGAUGCUUAAAAGAGAUAUCUUUCUUGAAACAUCAAUAUUCAAACUAGGGCUUAAUACCCAUGCUUUAACUCAUGUCAAAUCAUCAUAAAAUUCAUGCUAAAUAAUGAAAUCUUGAUAACUCAAUUCUAAAUCUGGAAAAUAUUGUCACACGCAUAAAAAUAUCAAAUUAGAUAUGCAAUUCAACAUCUAAAUCACAUGUAAUAUCAAAAUCUUCAAAUAGUGAUAAGUGGGUAUAAACCCUAAACUGAAAUUCAUAUAAUUUCAUGAAAAAUUCAACUUUAAAGCUAAUUUUGGGCACAAGGAUGAAAGAAUUAUCCCUGUUGAAGAACCCUACAUACCUUAAUUGAUGACUAGAUGAAGAAGCUUGAACUUUGAGUUUCUAGUUGUGCUCUUGAAGGUUGAUUCUUGAAGUUCUUGAAUUGGGAAUCCUUAAUUUUGAGUUAUCUUGGAAAAAGAAGGGUGGAAUUUGGAUUUCUUGGGGAUUAAAGUUUGAUGUUCUAGGGUUUCUUUGAGAGAAAGUUGAUGAAAAUCAUGCAUAAUAUGCUUAGAAUAGGCUAGAUUCUGUGUGUUACACGAUUUGGGGCUUGGAGAAAUAACUAGAUUGCCCUUUGUAAAAUUUUACUCAAAACUGGAAAAUUCUGAUUUGGCACACCACCGUGACGCGACACUAUCACUAUGGAUUACUGGAAAAUGGACGACUGUAAUUUUGGCCUCUGGCGCGACAUGGUGAAUUCGCAUCACUAGAAAAAGGACGAGUGUCAUUUUGCACUCCACCGUGAUGCGGUGUCUGUCCAAUUGGGAAUUUUGAUACGAUACAGGCAAAUUGUGUUGAGCUAAUGGAAAGGAACGAACGGGAACUAGAAAUUCUCCACGAUGUGGGCCAAUUGCAGUGAUCCACUAGAAAUCAGACAGCUGGGAAUUUGUCCUUCAUCGGGACGCGAUGCUUAUCGUGAUGCCUAACUGUUUUCACUAAAAUCACCAUAACUUCUCAACCGAGUAUCGUAUUAAGGCAAAAUUGGUAUCGUUGGAAAGAUAAUUCAAUUUUUUACACAUUGGUGGGUCUAGAUAUACAAAAUUAUACAUGUAUUAAUAGUUAUUUACUUUUAAAGUUGAUCCUUGACACACUAGGAGCUAAAUGGGACUAAGAAAAGUGCAGGGUAUUACAAUAUCUACCCCUUGAGAAUAUUCAUCGUCGAAUGAGACUAAUUGGAUUGAGAAUUAUAAACUAAGGUAACUGAGAUUAUAUACUGAAUAUACACAUCCGAGAACAUACUUACAUGACUAAGUCUUAAACUUUAGAAACCUCUAUCAUGAAACUAAUUACUGAGCUGACUUGUCUUUACUUGCUAUAAGUAGCUGAUUUAUGCUAAGAGUUUAGAAUUCACUUGAAGUGUUGAUGAUGCAAUCAUACAUAUAGAACUUCGAAGUGGCAAAUUAUGCAGGCACGAAUCAUGAGACAACGAGGCUAAGAUAUACAAUGGGUAUUACACUGUCUGAGCUAGAAUACUUGGAAAACUAAGAUCAUUCUCUGAAUUCUUAUGAACUGAAUCAUGACUAAAUAUCUAAAUCUGAGACUGAUGCUUGAUGCCUGGACUGAGCUAAAUUCGUAAUUUUCACAAAUGCGGAUAUUUUACCUUAUGAAAUGGCCUUACUCGCAAAACUUUGGGUAGUACAGCUAGAUGGAAAGUUGGAAAUCUAUAGGAGUUUAUCUGUUUGAUUGCUAAACUGGAUUGCAGGCUAUAUGGAUUGGAUCACACUGAAUGCUCACACCCAAAUGGGGUAUUUCUUCAACACUCUUCUAGGAAGUUCUAACAAUAUUAGGUAGCAAAGAACUCUGGGCAUGAUCUGAACAAAACAUCUAAAUAAGAAAUUUCAACAUUGCUACAACUCUAUAGCAUGGAACAUAGACCUAUAAAUUAUAAUCUAAGAUAGAAUUACUAGGCCUUAAGCAAUGCAACUUCUUACUUUCAAGCUUAGCAACACUUCUCAAAUACUUCCUCAACUAUACUAUCCCCUUAAAUAUCAUAUUCACUUGAUUCAACUUAUAAUUCUUACAUGGGCAUUGAUAAAUCCAUCUACUAAAGUCUAAACUGAACUAAAUUCUCCCAUCAUGGUCAAGCCUAACUCGAAAUCACAAGGUACUACACAUAACACCAUAAUACUAGUCUAAACCAUGAAUUCAGUACCCCAAGAGUUGUCAUAAUUGUUCACCUCUAGGAUAAUUAUUCUUAUCACUUUAACAACUAAAUUCAACCUCUUACUAGGACUUUACUAACGCACAAUACGUUCAUCCACUUACACACUAACAUGAAUUUCAAACCUAUUUUCAUAACCACAUAUGCACUUCCAAACAAACACCCAUAAAAGCAUUUUUCUCAUAUUCUCUAAUACAUCUAUCAAUAACAACUUCCAUGGACUAUUCUUAAGAAGACACGCAUAAAAUAUUCUCAACUAUCCAACUCAUACACAAAAAGCUUCACCUCAAUAUUCCUUCACUUAUAGGCUUACAUAAAACAAGCCUACAACCAUUUUGUCCCAACAUAACAUAUUUACUCUCUCUCAUCCAUACAACUAUUCAUCAUCACGGGAGGUCACUUAAAGGUUGGGAUACCAGGGCCUGAAACAUGAAGGGGUACUAAACAUAACUUGACACUUUACUGAGGCUUGAGGAAUAGAGUAUUCACGAUAUGGAUUCAUUAAAGAGAUCUAAUCUGAGGACGUACAUAAUAUAGAUCUAAAUUUCACUGAUUGUUAAGAAUGUUGCAUGAGUACUAGAACUAAACAUCCUUUAAAGCAUGAGUACAUGAGUCAUGAGCUGCAUAUCCUAAAUUUAGAGUUCAUAACUUAUGGAAUGUGACUCCAACUACUGAAUGAACUGGAACUCCUCAUACUAGGAACUGGGAAAGUACAUGAUUAUCUAUUAUAUACAUGAACAUAAACUAUGAUAAUGGAACUAACACAUAAGGCAUGAGUAGAUAUUGGGAUAACUGGAAUACAAAUGUUGAAAUAAGAAUGGGUUGGGCCUCAUCCUCCCUUUUUGAUGUUCUACAACGUACAGGCAUUACUACUAGAAUCUAAGAGCUUGACUUAGUUCCUUGUUCUAUCAUCUCCCCAUAGCUUUAAGCCAUCAUUCCAAGUCUAUGGAACCCUUUACUAAACUCUAAAUUGAACUACACUCGUUGCACUCUAGAGUCUGGAAUACAAUAAUACAUGUAAAUAAUAAACUUACUCUGAAAGUGUAAAACCCACUACUAAUACUUCCUUCAGAGAUACAACUCUUUCUAUAGCCCAAUAGUCAUCAUAUAAUAACUUGAACAUUUAGUAACUUAGAAUCUUCAUUAGUAUCAUCAUAUCCUAAGUUUACACCAUUUAGAGCUUCAACUCUUAUUUCUAUUUGCUCAAUCUUCAAGGAUUCAAACUUAGAUUUUAACACUCAACAUGGAUAUCCCCAAACCUUUAAUGAGCCAUACUUUUUCCAUCAUAGCCUACUAAUAUCACAUCUCUAAACUUAUAUUAUUACCUAAACCAUGAGAAUCAAAAUCAUACAAAUCCAUAACACCAUAACUUAGCUAUUAAGAAUAUCAAAUACUAUAUAACUAUCCUCCUUCCACUUAACAACUCAAUGGUACUACUAACCAUACACAACAAGUAAUAACUUUAGAAAAUAGAGCAACCCCAAUCACCUUGGGCAUACCUCUAAAUCAUACGUAUAACAUCAUACUCAAUUAUGACUAAAAUGGAAUUAAACUCUUGCAUAUACUAUGCAAUCUUACUAGAUCACUUUCAUUUAACUAGCAUCAAUAACCGAGCAAUCAUUACUUCCACCUUGAUGAUCAUCCACUGUUCAAACUUAACGUCUAGUGCUAAACAUGAUUUACAACCCAACCUCACAUACUAUUCUUACUUGGAAGCUAUAAAAUAUAGCAUCAAGAAACACUAGUACACUAAAACCUCAUAAUAAUAAUAAUUGAUCAUAUGAUCUCAUGGUUUAUCUUAUUAUAAUACAUUAGCACCUCCUCUUUCUACACAUUGCAACUAUUUACCCAUCUAUCCACCUAUGUUACUUUCAUAGCUCUAUAAGUUUUAACUAAACUCCUUUUCGCAGCCUCAAGGGAAGCCUAAAUUAACAUUACUAAACCACCAAAUGCUUUCAUUAAUAACCAAUACUUUUCUAAUAGAAUAGGCACCAUCAAUAACUCCGUUCAUAUAUCAAGCAAACAACAAUUCACCUUAACUAAUCAUUUUUCUCUACCUUCUACCAAGGAAAUUAUACCACAUUCAUUACCUCUAAACUAACACACAAGGACAUAUCACCUUAAUACGAACUCUAUUACACGCAUAAGCUCAUGUAUAUACUUUCAACCAAUUGCCAUUCCCACCUUUCUUGCCACUACAGUUCUAUACCCAUACUUUUAACUAUGAAAAAAAGGUUCUACUACUUAUAAAUCAUAACACUCUAGGUUGCAAUAUCCCUUAAAUGCAAAUUUUGUUUAACAAUCUAGGUUCACACUAUCUUUUCUCAUAAGUACUAUCUAUAUUGAAGGGUUAAUGAGAAAUCUGAAUAUAUAUCUUACUCUAGGUUAGCUGAACAACUAAUAUGUAUGAGGACAUAAAUUUUGAUUUGAGUAAAUUAUAACACACUAGUGAGCUCUUCUCAAGCCCCUUGUGUGACUUCUGAAGUUACUAAUAGUAAAUCUGAGAGCAUCAACUUAGAAUAAAU